CAUUUCAAACCGAGCAAGUAGACUAAUUACUACAACAACAACAAAGAGAUUCUCUUUCACCUACAAAAGAUUACAGAAAAAAAUGGCCAAAAGCGAAUCUUUGCUUUUGAUUCUUCUUUUCAUCUCCGUCUCUCUAUCGACGGCUAGGAUAUCACCAGGAGAGUUUCAUCCCGUCAUCUUAUCUGGAGAGAUCUCUCAUGAUUCUAAGGCGGUGGUUGGUUGCGGAGGCGAGGGGUCGGAGACAAACACGGGAUAUUCUUUUAUGCCUGAAGUCGUCGCCGGAAAAUUUGGCUCGUUGGUGUUGAAUGCCGAAAGGGAGUCGUCCGGCGUCUGGGCCCAGCAAGAAAAGUCAUGACGUCAAGAUUUAAUUAGAUGAUGUUUCUGUGUCUGAUCUUAAUUUUUUGUUGUUGUUUCCGUCCAAUUCUUUGGCAACACUUUUGAAUUCUCUAUAAAAUAUUGUAAAUGUAUAUUCAGAUAUUACAGUAGUGAGUUUUAGAUUUUGUAGUCUUUUUGAAUUGAAAUGAUCAAGAAUGUUUGGUAAUAAUCUUGUAUCCAUCUCAUCUAUCAAAUACUUUUUGAUAACUACUAAUCAGCUUUCCAUCUCUUGUGAUUAUUUAUUAAACAAUGGUAGGUAGACGCAUACAAGUUGAACCAAAUUAAUAUAACAUUUAAAAUGGUACUAUGUAGCUUGGGGAUAGCUGUAUUAGGUUGGGUCCAAGUAAAGAUCCCAAGGCGGAAGGGAUCAGAAACUACUGCAAAAUAUGUAGAUUGCUUUAACGCGUCUGCAUCACCUUACUAUGAUCGCUUAACUUGGUAUCUAUGUAUUAGAAUGUAGCAAAAUUUUAUUAUUGGAAAAUGUAUCGUAAAACAACGUGUAUUAUUGCAACCACAUGGUCAUUUCGAGCUAACUCAAAGACCAAAGAGACAUUAUACGUUUGUUUCAAACAAACUUAUAAAAACAAAGCCGAGCUGGGAACUGGUUCCUCUCUUUAUGUAACGAACUCACUUGCACUCCUUAUAAACUUCGCUUGCAUAUUUCCAGUUGACCACUUUCCACACGUUCUUCAGAUACUCCGGCCUCACAUUCUUGUACUGCAAGAGAGAGAGAGAGAGAGAAAAGAGUUGAUUAAAAGCUUGAUCUUACAAGCUAACUCAUUAUUUAACAAGUGUUGUUACCUGUAAAUAGUAGGCGUGCUCCCAAACAUCAAUACCCACCAGAGGAACCAAGCUUCCUCCUUUUGUCACAAGUGGAUCCUGAUAUCAUCAAUCAAACAGAGUCUCUCUCUUUAAAUCCAUCAAUACCACAUGUAUUUAUAAAAUAUAAAUAUCGCCGGCUAAUCUAAAAUAUGUACCUGAUUGGCGGUUGUGUCAACCACAAGCUUCUUAAGCUCUUUGUCUAAACCGAGCCACUGAAUCAAUCAAAACAAAACAAACCGAGUCAAUAACCAAGAUUACAAGCAUUGCGACAAAACAAACAAAAGGUGAAUGAAACUAGAGUAUACUAACCACCCAUCCUGACCCUUGCAGAGCAGCACCUUCAGCACUCAUCUUCUUCACCAAACCUUCAAGGGAGCCAAAAUGAGUGUCAAUGGCGUAGCCAAGAGCUCCCUUUGGUGGCUCUCCCCCACCUUCCUGUUAUAUAUACUCAAACACACACACCAUUAAGCAAACAGACCAACAAUCAAACGGAAGAAACAGAAAGUAAAAAAAAAAAAAAACACAAGCUCUCACCUUGACAGGAGCAAGAUUCUUCCAGAAAAUAGAGUGGUUCACAUGACCUUCACAACAUUAGUAAACAAAGUCAACGACUUUCAAUCUCCACCACAUAAAAAUCAAAACUUUAGCUACUAAGCUAACAAGUUGGCACAAAGAUCAAGUCUUUAGCUCAAGAUCCGAAAACCCAUCACCUAACUAACCGAUCAAAACACACCAAAACAGAGAUUCCAAAAGUAUAAAAAAAAGUCAAGAAGACAAACCUCCGCCGUUGAACUUGAUGGCGCUCUGCAACUUAACGACGCCGGAAGCGUCUCCCUUGUUGACGGCCUGAUCCAGCUGCUCGAGGGCAUUGUUGUAAUUAGUGACGUACGCCUGGUGAUGCUUCUGGUGAUGGAUCUGCAUGAUCUCGCCGCUGAUCGCCGGCUCCAAGGCGCUGUAAUCAUAGGGGAGAUCAGGAAGCGUGAAGGUCUGGAUUGAUCGGAGACCAAGAAGCCUCGAAGAUGUCUCCUUUAGGCCCGCUAGGGUUUUUCUGCUGGCUACGGAACGAAUCGCCAUUGUUGAUAGAGAGAUGAUGAUGAGACAAGACACAGUGAGAGAGAGAGAGAUACGUGGUCGCCUCAAAAGACGAAUGAGGGUAGUGAUAAAGUCACUGCUUGUCACAUAGUAGUGAAGUAACAGUCAUGACACGUAGACUUGUGUAUAUGGGCCGUAAUAUUGGGCUAGUGAGCCCAAGGCUUUUAAUUAAUAUUCUUUUUUAAUAAAUCUUUUAAUUCAAGGAAAGACGAUGAUGAUGAUGUUCAUGGUGAAGGUGAUGAUGAUGACGACGACGACGAUCUAAAGUUGACUAGAGGCGGAGAAUUUCGAGAAUGUUGGGAUUGGAUGCAUGUAAAAGCCACUUUUAUUUGGUUCCUCCUUGAUUAUUCUGAUACGUCGUCGUUUCUCCGAUCGAAUCUAGUUCCUUUCUCUAAGCCCAGAAGACACCAUUGUACCCAGAGGAUACCGAGAUCGCAGAUUUAAGGCGAGGCUUCUCAAAUCUCAAUCAAUCGAGAUUGGCAUUCGUAAAGUCGGAGACUUUUCUUGAAUCCGGGUUCUGGAAUCUCCGAUGGAUAGUUCGAGUGACAACGAGGGUGAUUACGACGGAAGAAACGAAGAGGGAUCUACGUCGGAUUAUCGAUUGCUGGGUCGGCAAGUUACGGUUCAUCAAUUCAUGGGCGGUGGCAAAGGCGAGUCCUUUCUCUGAUUUCACCAAUUGGGUAGUUUUCCGAUUAUAGUUUCUCGAAUUGUUGAAAAUUAGGGUUUCUAAUUUCAAUUCACUCGGUAAUGUAAUUGUUAUGUGGACAAUUACAUUUGAUCUUGAAUGAGAACUAUUGAAAGAUUGAAUUUUUCUCUGGGCUAGAAAAAGUGUGAGGUCACAAUCAAUGUUCUUAGAGGCUCUGCAAGUGACAUUCUAUGGGUUUUGUUCUUUGUUGUUGCAGCUGCUGACUUACUCUUAUGGAGGAAGAGAAACCAUUCGUUGGGGGUCAUCGUUCUAUCAACCGUAGCUUGGCUUAUAUUCGAGUUUUCCGGAUUGCCUUUCUUAUCUGUUUCUUCAGAUGUCUUACUGAUCGUUGUCAUACUAUCAUUCGUCCUUGCCCAGGCUUCUGGUUUUAGGAGCAGGUGCAAUACUGAUUCUCACCACUCUAUAGUAGUCCUUUUACUGUAAUUUGUUUGCUCUUUGAUCCCUACCUUUUUUGUUCCCUGUGUAAGCAGACAUGUGAAUUCGUUACCAGAGCUUGUUCUAUCCGAGGAAAUGGUUAAUAGUGCCGCAGCUUCCUUCCGUGUCAAACUUAAUCACUUGCUUGUAAUGGCUCAUGAUGUCACAGUUGGCAACGAUUUUCGCCUCUUCUUCAAGGUUAUGCAUAUUGAUACUAUUUUUUUUCUUGGAAUCUGAAAACAUUUGGGCUAAGAUGUGUUGACAGUCUUGGCCCUAUUUGUCUUUAGCAGGUGGUGAUUUGUCUGUGGCUUCUUUCUGCCAUUGGUUGCUAUAUUUCUUUCUGCACUCUUGUUUAUAUCGGUUAGUAACUUUUGAUCCCUAUAUAAAAGAAAAAAAAAGCAUUUAAAGGGCCUUUCCUGCAUGUCUUCAUAACCUUUUAACUCUUAAUGGUUACUCCAUUUGCGUUCAGGGACUAUCCUCUCUGUAACAAUACCGGCUUUGUACAGCAAAUAUCAAAGCAAAGUAGACAAGUGUUGCGGUUUGAUUCACAGGCAGUUUUCUCAUCACUACAAGUUAGUUGACGAAAAUGUUAUAAGCAGACUCUCAUGGAGCUUUUCCAAGGAUAAAGAUUCCUGAGCUUUAGUUUGGUUGAUUUUUGAAAAUGCUUUUACUCGUCUUUCUUCACUAGCUGAGUUUUCUUCUUAUCUUACCAUGUGUAGUAUGUAACUAAAUGACAAUGUCAAUGAUGAAUAUAUGAGAUGGUACCCCAUUUGCCCAGUAAUGUUAGGUCACGUGUCCAUGUCACAUUUAAUUUUCAAUGAAAAGAACACAAUAUAGUUGGACUACUUACUAUAUGAAUAAGGUAUUCCAUGAGGAUCCUGUCUAUAAACUUAUUUAGCUAUCCUAAUCUAAUUUUAGUUUCUAAUACUUUUUGAACGACUAGCUAUCAUUUAUCCUUGUAUGUAUAAAACUAUGAUUAAAUGGAGACCAUAGAGCUAAAUAGGCCUCCGUUUCCAUCUACUAAACAAUCAUUAGCAUAUCUCUAGAAGUUUCAACUCUGGUAUGAUAAUUAUGUCUAAUCUAAACUAGUCACCAACUAAAAUUAAAUACUAACAGAUUUUUUUCUAACAACUAAGAAAUUAGUCAUUAAUAAUGAUGGAUAAUGAUGUUAUGAAUCUCACAUUAAACUUGAAUAUUUUAUUUAUAUGGAUACAACAAAUACGAGUACCUUUAAUUUUCUGAAAAUAUAUGAGACUUUGUAGCAACGUCCAACCAAGCAUAUUAUAAAGGAAUAGUAAAUAAUAAAUAUACACACAAUAGAUUCGUGUAUAAGGUUGAUGAAUUCAUUUUUCACACGUUGGAGUGUUAUUGUCAACCAAUGGAACUAUUGAAGCUAAGAGAGACAAGUGUUGUGUCGUUUGCGUGAACUUGUAUUGUCUAUUUUCAUUCGUAUACUUCUUCAUUAACUAGUGUGUUUGAAUUUGGACUUCUUAAUCUUAAAUUCUUAAUACUUGUGGACCCGUAAACGCCACAUGAAUUUGUAUGAGCCAUUGAAUUCGUAAACCAGUUACAUACACAUAUGUUUUUCACCAUCGGAAUAUGUUUUAUGAAUCUGAAUCUGGAUUAACCAUCGUAUGAAUUUUGUAAUAUCAUCAUAUGGUAAAUCAACUAAAUGGAAAAUUAACUAAUCUUUACCGACUACACAUAUAUGGUGACCAAAACUCUAGGUCCUUUCACUUUUUCUCAAGGAUAAUGCCAUAUACCUAAUUAUUGAAAACCAUUUUGAUUAGUAAUGAUGUGUCUACCCGCAAGAAGACGAAAAACAUGGAAUACUUAUAUGAUAUUAUAUGUUAAUUAUAUUCGACAUAAUUAGUUGGGAAUAUGAUACCCCAACCAUGCAGAGUUUUAUAUAAUCAAUUAUUAUUUUUAUACAUCAAAUCUUAGUUGUAGUUUUUUCUUAUUUGAGGAUUAAGUCCUUUUAGCUUGAUUCCAAAGUUCUUAAAACCACUACUAAUGAGUUUGUUAGUUGUCGAUUCUGAUAUCUACUAAACUAAUCGUUUUCUUAUUUGUCUUCUAUCCUUUAUAUUUUCCUUAGUCAAAAGAAAAUGCACAUCGAUCCAACAUUGAAUUGAAUUACAUAAUAGGGUCCCAUUAAAUAAAAAUCAGAAUUAAUAUUAGGAUAUACCAUUACAGUAUAAACUAGGUAGUGGCUCAAUAUGUUCAAACUAUGUUUUUAAACUGAAAUCUUAAACCUAAAUUCGUACUAAUCUCGAACCAAAUGCUUUUCAGAAAAAAAAAGUAAAAAAUAAACUUUGCUAUCUCCCAGUGAAGUAAUGACAUGAGGAUAUAAAAUAUAAAAUCUGUAAUUUUAAAAACAAAAGAAUAUAUAUGUGAUCAUCUGAUUUUGAAUUUUUGUUUUGCUUCUAUUAAAAUGAACACAGAAUAAAAACCCCAUGAUCUUAACCAAUAUAUAUAUAUAUGACAAAACAAUGGACUCCCAAAGCAAUGGAAACAAAAUUAAUAGUGACCAUUCACUUACUACAUAUAUAAAUAAUAAUUUUAGUAUUUUACAAGAAUUUCUUGGACCAACCACAUCAUCUUUCUCUCUAUAACUCUCCAAAGAGAGUCGCCCAUACAUCCAUUUACGAAUGUCUUUUAUCACAACUUGACAUAAAAACUUAUUUUGCCUUCUCUCAUCUUCAUUCACAAGUCAGGAGAAGAAACAAAUCAGAAAAUUGAGUCAAAAGCUCAAAACUCUAAAAGAAAGAGUGAAGAGAAAAAACACAUCGUGGGUCGUGUGAGCAAACAAGACAAAUUUUGAAGGUGUUACUUUCUGAUCUCCUCUUUUUCUCAAACAUACCUCAAAGAUGGCUCGCGUGUUACUUGAGCCGCAAGCAGACGCACCGGCCGACGCAAACCCUAAAGCCAGAACAGGCUUUAACGACACCUACUUCGACACUAACAUGGUCAUAAUUCUAGCUGCUCUACUCUGUGCUCUGAUAUGUGCUCUAAGCCUCAACUCUGCCUUGCGAUGUGUGCUACGCAUCACAAGCAGAUUCACAUCGGAGCAAGACGGAGCCGCUUCAAACGCAAACGCAAAUCCUGGACGUUUAACGGCUACCACGGGGCUCAAGAAACGGGCGCUGAAACAAAUCCCCGUGGGAUUGUACGGAUCAGGGAUCAUUAACAUGAAAGCUACAGAGUGUUUGAUCUGUCUCGGGGAUUUCGUGGAAGGAGAGAAAGUUAGGGUUUUGCCAAAAUGUAACCAUGGCUUUCACGUGAGGUGCAUCGACACUUGGUUGCUUUCACGUGACUCUUGUCCCACUUGCAGACAAUCUCUUAUCCUUGAGCAACCGUCGCCGAUGGGUGGUAGUUCUCGCCGGGAUGAUGACGUGGCAGUUUCUGUCGUAGGGACAUAACUUGAUGGUUAUUUCUGAACUUUGCUGUGUUCUCAGUCGGGAUUUGGUUGGUUAUGUAAUAUUGUUUCUUAUUUUACUAGGUCUAAGUUGAUGUGAUCGUUUAGACAUGUAUAUUCUUGUGCGUUGGUGAUUUUUAUUUGAUUGGUUUGGAACUUGAAUUUUUUUUUUUUUUUUGAAAGCUGGUAAAAAUUUGGAACUUGAAUUGUAACAGAGAAUGUCUUUUUGUUUUCAUUUAAUGGUUCCAUAAUUAGAAGACAUAUACUGGUAGCUCAACGUUUUGUGUGGUUAGCAACGUGACCAUCUAAAAGGAGAUUAAGAUUAAGACUAAGAAUUCGAGUAACGACCGAGGAAAUGGAUUAUAUAGCCGUCUAAAAUUCAAAACUUGUUGUUAUAUAUACACAAAAAAUCAUAACUACAAAAUGCAGAUAUUUUUUUAAUCACUUGUUAAUGCAUGCGCAACCGUAACAUUAUUAUUUUUAUUUGUAAACGGAAGAAGUAUAUUUUCAAACAAUUAGGAUUCAUAACGAAUGCAAUGUUUAUUAUUUAUCAAAAUAUUUUUGUAACAUCCCGAGUUGUGAUAUGUGAAAAGGCUUAACAGAAUUGAUUUGACUACCUAUGUCACCAAAGUUGACUUACCUUUUCCGGAGCACAUCCGUUUAGAACUCCAGAGUUAAGCGUGCUUGAGCUGGAGUAGUGGAAGGAUGGGUGACCUAUCGGGAAGUGAUUCGCGAUACCGUGUGAGUGAGGCCAAAGCACGGGAAAAAGUCGGGUAGUGAUUGCAGGGUCAGUAAACAAUGAUUUCGAGCCUUCAGAAAUUAACGGACCGACCGUCGGAUGAGAUGGGGCCUACGGGCCGAGAGAGCGGGCGUGGGUGGCCCAUUAGCCGUGGGCGGUCGGGGCGUUAUAAUUUUUUUCUGAAUUAUGUUACCUCUCUUAUUUUGGGGUGAAAAUAUCUACCGACCGAUCGAAAAUUCAAAAUAUGAUGUGAAGGAUUAAUUCAACGCAACUCUUCUCGUGUUUGCAUUUAGUAUCAACUUCCACAACUACUCUGCUUAUCUUGGGCCCGCCCUAUAGGGCCUCAAUUCCAUGAUUAAGUAGUGUUUCUUUUAGCGGCCCACAAAAAUCCAAUUGAGAGGACCAGACCAGAGAUAGUUCUAACUUCACGUUAUAAUUUUUAUUUCGGUUAUGGAAGCUCAUUUUUCAUUUUUAUUAUUGAUGUAUAAACAAUCUUAAAAUUAUAACGUAAACAAUCUUAGAGCAACAUUAUUGGUAGUCCCAACAUUGGUCCUUAGAACACCAUUAUCCUAGAGACCCAUUUAGGGUCUCUUAUUUUUUUUUAAUAUGUUUUAAUCGUAAAAGUGAAUUAAAAGACUGGAUGAAUCGACCCGAAAAUUUACUUGUUCCAUUGCAAGUCUCUUAUUUAAAGGUUCUUAAAAAAAAAAAAUUUAAUUAAACACUAAAUUUUUGAGGUAUGUUGCAGCUGCAGAACUUGAACCAGAAUAGAGAUCAAAGGAAGCUUUAACAGACUAAUGAGUUGUAUUAACAAGUGAAAAAGAAAGCAAAUGUUUGCUCAUUGUGAGAGUAGAUAACAUACCAAUAUUGGAAAGCAAAUGUUUGUUCAGGAGCAAUUCCCCUAUAAAAGAGAGAGCGGGACACAUCAUACAGCCAUUAUUGGAAAGGAAGCUAAGGGAAAAGAGAAUAAAUUGCAAUGCACAGAACACACAAGACCUUAAACCAAUGCAUAGUGAACAAAAAUGCAUACGCUGAGGCUUAUACCAACUCAAUUCACACAAUUCUAAUCACUUCAACAAUUCUCUCGAACCAGACAUGACACUUAAUCCAAAGAACUUAACUUUAUCUCAUUUUGACUCCCAUUUGAUGCAAAUACCAAUGCACAGAGAACAGAAAUGACUUUGAAGCAAUGCUAUUGAACAAGUAGAAAUAGCAAGCAACCGAGAAAGGUUCAAAAAAACAUAUUCACCUCAGCUAUUUCAACAGUACCAGCUUUCUCAAAGAGCAUAGCCAAGGCUAACCGAGAUCAUCAUCUUCGUCGAGAGAUGCUUCUUCAUCGUCGUUCAAAUCAACCACCUCUAGGGCUCCAUUGUCAUUCUCUAAAGCUUCCAGCCUAGCUAUAGCAGCCUAGAAUCAACCAAACACAAAUGAAGUCUCAUUGCCAAGGAAAAAAAAUAAUCAAAAAGUGAUUUCGAAAUCAGACAACACACCUGGGUUCGAUUGUCGGUGCUUGUAAGAGCUUCCGCCAUCUUCGUAGCAACCUUACGGGUACGGCUCGAGACUCUACGGUUCGCCAUGUCUCCAUACCACUGAUGACGAUUCAGUGUACCGGCGACGGUAGACCGAUGCGCUCACGUCUCCGCUUUCGUCCCCGUCUUGCUGAGCCCAAUCCAAAGUCUGGGCGACGGAGGAGACUUGGAUUCGAAACCGAUUUCACAAAUCGGGAGAGAGAUAGAGAUGAGAGUGGGAUGAAGUUCUGGAGAAGGUGAAGAGGGAGGAAGAGAAAUUACAAGAGACGUCUCUUCUUGUCCCUGAUUAAGAGACGUCUUUUAGGUUUAUUGAUAUUUUUCAUUUUUUUUUAAUCCUAAUAAAUGUAAGAGACCCUCUUAAAAGACCAGGAUAAUGUUGCUCUUAGUGUUUUUUGGUGUGGGAUCCACCACCUUUUUGCUAGAAACUUUGCUCAAAUGUUCCUAAUUAAGUAACGUUCCAAGGGUUGUCCCUAACUGUUUGCGAACCCCACUGACACGUGACGACCCGCAAUUGAUUCAUAUUUAAUAUCUUUUUUAAAUAAAAAAAAAAUAAAAAUUGAAGGACUAAAAAAUGUCUCAGCCGAUAAUCAUGCUCUUCUAUUGAUACAUGCAAAACUACCCAUAGAGACCGAGAAGCUGCAGUGAGACUCAGGUAAUAGUGUCAGUCUUUGUUGAGAGUUUGUUGAAAAUAUAUACUCAUAUGUUUUAUAUUAAGUCUCAUUUUAGCUUUUAAAAUUAUUUUAUUACUUGUGUUUUUUUAACAUUUCCAAUGCAUAUAUUAAAGAAUUUUCCUAUUUUAUCCUAUUUCUAAUUCAUUAAUUAAUAAUAAUCAAAUAAAAUAGUAUAUUAAAUAGAGAUAAAAAUUAUUAAUUUUUCAAUAUAUGUGUAAAAAUCUUAAACGACACUUAUUGUGGAACGUGUGUAGUAUAUUUGUCAUUUAACAGAUUUUUGUGUUUGUCAAUUACACUAUCAAACAAAACUAUUGAGCUAAAUUAUAAACAUAAUUUAAUAAAAAAAAAUUAUUAUAUUAAAAACAUUUUUUGUAAAGGGCCUUACUAAUUUUUUUAUCUUUACUUAUGACAUGAAAACUAAAGAAAAAAAACUACACUACAACAUUUAGUUGUCUGUUAGUUAUAUAAUUUAGAGAGAGUGAACAAUCUUUAUAGAGUGUAACAUAUAAUAAGAAAGGCUGCUAAGAAAAUAUUUUUUAAUUAUAAAAUGGAAUUCUAAAAAAGUUAGCCUUAGUUUCUUUUUAUUUUCUUGGGUCAAAGUCUUAGUUUCUAAAAUUAACAUUACAAUGAGCAUAACUGGAAUUGACUACACUAAAAAUUGACUUUUAGAUAAACUCAAUUAGUGUAAUACAUGGGAACAUUUCCAUGAAGAAUCUCCCUGUUUGAUGACUGAUAUCAAUAAGAAGCAAAAGAAAAAACAUUACAAUAAAUAUAAAUGGAAAACAAAAAUAAAAAAAAAAUCCAAAUUGAUUAAGAAUAGAUCGAUAUGUUCCCAAGAAUAGUAACACAUUAAUUAUUUAAAUUGAGCAAGAAUGACAUGUUGGCAAAUUAACAGAUAAAUAUCAAUCUAUACAACAACUAUAAUAUUAUUUAACUUAAUAUAGGCUGAUAUUUCUCUUAAAUAUAUUUUCAUAUAUAUAUCAUAAUUAUUUUGUUUUAUAGAAAAUAAUUAUUUUAUUGUUUUUAUAUAUUUAAGGAAUGUAAUUAACGUAUAAGUAAGUAAAUCAAAGAAUUUGUGAAUGGUCAUGCAUGAUUGAGAUUGUAAGAAAGCACUCAAUCUCUGAAUAUAUAAAUAACUGUAUUGAUCUCGAAGACAAUAGAGCACAAAAACCAAAAAGAAAAUAACCAAGAAGAUGAAGUGUUUGUGUUUGGUUGCGUUUCUAGCAAUUGUGAUCACACAAAGCUAUAACGAUCUAGGAGUAGAAGCAGCGUCGGGAGAUGGUUUCGUGAGCAGGAAAGGCGUCCAGUUUAUUCUCGACGGGAAACCGUUUUACGCCAAUGGAUUCAAUGCCUACUGGCUCACGUACGAAGCCACCGAUCCGGCCACAAGGUUUAACAUCACCUACGCCUUUCAAAACGCGACCAGUCGCGGUCUGACCGUCGCACGCACAUGGGGUUUCCGAGAUGGCGGUUACCGUGCUCUCCAAACCGCCCCUGGUCGCUACGAUGAACUAACGUUUCAGGUACGUACACCGUAUUUUGAUAUAGCCAAACAAGCUUUUGAUCUAAAAUAUAAUUUUACGUAUAAAGUCUAGAUUUUCCUCACCACGAGUGAAGCUUUUUAGUCUAAUAAUAUCUUUUAUUUUCUGUUAAUAAUUUGUUUUGCAUAUUUUAGGGUUUGGAUUUUGCGAUAGCCGAAGCAAAAAGACUGGGUAUAAAAAUGAUAAUCACCUUUGUCAAUAACUAUUCCGACUUCGGAGGAAGGAAACAAUACGUGGAGUGGGCUAAAAGUCAAGGCCAAGUCGCAAAUUCAGAAGACGAUUUCUACACAAACCCUCUUGUUAAACAGUUCUUCAAGAACCACGUCAAGGUACACAUACAAAGUCUAUUAAUAAUAUUCAUAUCAACAAUUUUUGAAGAUGGUAAAUUAAACAACUAUAUGAUCUUUCGCUUCAGACCAUGGUGGACAGAGUGAAUACAUUUACCAAAAUUGCAUACAAAGAUGAACCAACCAUUAUGGCUUGGGAGCUCAUGAACGAACCCCAAUGCAAAGCAGAUCCAAGUGGAAAAACCCUGACGGCUUGGAUUGGUGAAAUGGCUACUUACGUGAAAUCACUUGAUUCAAAACAUCUCCUCUCUACCGGUCUUGAAGGCUUCUAUGGUGACUCAUCUCCUCAAAGAAAAGCUUCUUUGAAUCCAGUUGCAGCCAACGUUCUUGGAACCGAUUUCAUCGCUAAUCACUUUUUCGACGCCAUUGAUUUCGCAUCGAUUCACUCUUACCCUGACUUAUGGUAAUAUAUAAUAAACUCACAUAACUCGCACUGGAUUUUUAUGCAUUCGUGUAGACAAAAUCCUCAUGUUCUUUUCGUUCCUUGCUUAACACAUUGCCUUAUAAAAAUCGUUUAUUUUCCUCUAGUAUAGUCCAUAACGUGGGAUUAUCUUAGUUUUGUUUUUAGCACCUUUAAAGCUUUUUAUUUUAUACUAUCGUAGACAUAAUAACUAUGCAAUAUGCAUGUAUUGCGUAAUAUAUGUCCACUAUAAAUUUGUUUUCUAUCCAGAAAAAUGUUUAGUUUCCUGAUACUUUUUAUCUUAGUCAAAGUUGUAGUGUUUAGAGUUUGUGAUCUAUCCUAGUGAAGUUUUAAGUGUUUACGAUUUAUGAUUCAGCUUAACCCAUCAAAAUGCAAUUUAUUUAACAUCAAUAUUGAUACAAGAAAACUUUUUGUUUUACAAGUUAAUCUCCAUUCCACUCCGUGUUUUUUUUUUUGCAGGUUUCCAAACCUAAAUGAGACUUCUCGAUUGGAAUUUUUAAGAAAAUGGCUUGAAGGCCACAUGGAAGAUGCACAAAACAUUCUUAAAAAACCUCUAAUCCUAGGAGAAUUCGGGAAACCAUCGAAUACACCAGGCUAUACUCUAGCUCAGAGAGAUGCCGUCUUUAAUGCAACGUUCGACACCAUUUACGCGUCUGCGGAAAAGGGCGGUCCAAUCGCAGGUGCAUUGUUUUGGCACCUUAUUAGCGGCGGUAUGACCAAUUUUGAAGACCCCCUCUCCAUUGUACUCAGUGACAACACCUCGUCGGUUAAUAUUAUUGGGCAGCAGUCACGAAAGUUGGGCUUGAUUGGUGGAAGAGGAAAACUAAGUCACAAAAUCAAAAUCUAGAUAGGGCCUUUAUGCAAUAGUCUACAUUGAAAUUGUACCCCAAUUGAUAUAAUAAUAUUCUUAAAACUUUUCUCAUAUCUUUAGAGCAUCAUUAGUGGUUGAAAUGGUUAAGAAAGUACCUGAUCAUUAUAAUAAUAAUAACUUGUUAUAAAUAAUUAUUUAAAAUAAAUAAAAGAAGCUAAGCUAGUUAUAGUAUAACACAUGGUGGUACGUCUCUUGAAUUCUUUGCAAGAGUCCCUUGAAGAAGUUACGACAAUCUCUAUCUCUCUUCAUCAUGUAUUUCUCUUCCUUCCUUUUUCAUUUUUUAAUAUUAUUAGUGGUUAGGUACUCUAAGAAUUAACCAUCGCUCCGGGUGCUCUUGCAUACUCUUUUACUAAAACGCCAUAAUGAGAUAUAGCCAUGUAGCAACAUCAAAGCAUUUUAUCUAUUCUCAUAUUUUCCUUCCUGAUGGUGCUUAAGAGAUGGUAAGAGGGUCCUGGCUACUUAUUUAACUCCAAAGAGAAAGAGAAGUAUCAGAUUUAAAGGAGCUCAAAUCCGCCGUUAGGGUUAUAAUAAAGGAACAGACAAUAUUGUGGUCUGAAGAUAAUAGUUUAAAAUCAAAUUUGAGGAGGCCGCUGAGGAGCUCCUGUUUCAAAUCGUUGUAAGCCUCAUCAACGACAGUGAAAGAGAAAAUGGCGCUCUUUUCUAUUACGAAUGUCUGCGAACGAAACCCCUAAUAACACGAACAUCUAUAUAUUAUAUGGUAUUUAUUUAGUUAUUUGUGGGUUCUUUUAUAUAUAAAUACUUAAAUGAUUGAAAAUCAAGCACUUUGUCAGCCACACAUAUUUCAAGGCUCACCAAAGUUUAUCUAUCUUUCUUUUCUGGUCUUCUUUAUCGUGUUGGGCUUAUUACUUUACAUCAACUCACCAAAUUAAAAUAAUUCAAGAAAAAUUAGGACCAGAAUAUAUAAAAUAAAUCGAACUGAAAACGAGACAGGAUCAGCCUAUCAGGUCGAACAUGGACGGCCAGCCUAUUAGGACCAAUAUGUGUCUUCUUCACGUACUUAUUCUUAAGUAUUGAAUGUUAUUACAUCUGGCUGUAACAAAAUUUCGUGGUUAAAUUAUUAAACAACUGUUGAACUACAUAUAUACUGUAGGUGUAGCUCACAACGUUACGCGUCACUAGACACACAAAGAACUUUUGAGACAAAGGGACAUGGUUUUUUUCCACUAUCCCAAAUCUAUUCGUUUGCAUAUGUAUCAUCAUAUAUAGAUUCAUAAUUAGUUGGCAUGUUACGUUAUUGGAUUUCCUAUCGACAUUGCUGGGGUAUUAUUUUUUAUCUUUUUGUCAACACAUAGUUGGAGUAUUCAAAUUCUAUGUAUGCCUUUAUAUUCAGUUUAAUUUGCAUGAUUAUGAACUCAAGAUACGUUUUGGUUGAUCUUAAGAGACCACUCUGAUACAAUGUGUAACGCGUAUAUGAACAUGUGCUCAGAAUGCAUUUGCACUGGAUUAUAUUCUUUUACUAGGACCGGUCCGCCCUACGGGCGAGAAGUUAUAAUAAAAGUGAUUUUAUAAUAAUUUAUGAAGUAAUUUAAAAUUAUGAUAGAUUAAAUAAUAUUAUAAACGAAAAAAUAAUGAAAGACUUCUGAGAUCAUUAUAAUUAUUUUUUGUUUUGAAUUAUAAUGACAGUAAAUUUCACUAUUCUCUAAUAAAUAACAUUAUAUUUUUAAUAUUUAUUUUAAUUCAAAUGUUUCGUUUUAUAAUAUUUUUAAUUAAACUAACUUAUUUAAGGUUUUUUUUUUGCGAAUAUGAUUCAAAACUUGAAGUCAUUCCUAAAGUAAUUCAUGCUUCUUUUUUUGUGAUGUAAUUGUAUAUUCCCUUUGUAUGUAUGUUUUGUAAAAAUUUGUUAAGAGAAGUAUAUAAUAAUGUUUAUGGGUUUUGAAAAUUUUAGGGUGUCGAAGGAUUAUUUAUGUUAAGAUUAGUUAUAUUUGAGUUAAAAUGUUUUAAUGAGGGGGUUCAUUGAAUGAUUUAAUGUGAUAGUCAAUGAGGAUGCAUGAAUCCAACCGACUUCCAUAACGGUUCCAAAAUUCAACCAAGGGUAGAAGAAGUGGAAUCGAACAGCCAAAUACGACGCCUUCCAACUGACCUUGAUCAGAAUUCAGCGUGGCCGGUGCAGCAAAUCUUCAUUGGCCGUAGGUUUGAACCAGAGUUGUUAGCAGAUCUGUCUUUCGUUCGUCGACAUUAUUUUUGGAGAAGAAGCCGUCUCAUGUGGGAUCCCCUCAUGUGUUACUCUACAGCCCAGAAAUCCAAUUAUGUUAAGCGCAAAACACUGACCUGAAAUAUUUAUUAACAAAAAGAGAAAAACCCAUUAAUAAUUGUGAUUAAGUGAAACGGUGAGUAUCAUCCAACCCGGACACGUGUCGCCCUGUCAGGAACCGACUUUAUGACGUGGCAAAGCAGGAGUGAGGCGAACAUAUUUUUAUAUAUAUAUAGAUUUUACACAAGAAAUUAAAUUUUUAAUUGAUUAAAAACAAAUAGUUUAAGAUUUUAAUUUACAAGUUUACGAUAAUAUUGGCUAAAAUUUUGAAAAAAAAAUUGUACUCGGCACAAGGCCUAUAUAUUAUAUAGCCAGAGGUUUGGUCUACAUAGUGGUGUUUCUCAACCUAACAGAACUGAAAACCUAAUUAAGAUAAAAGUUCAACGUUUUCUUAAAAACUUUUUUUUCUUUUGAAAAAGCUAUGUUUGAUCCAAAAACAAAAGCUAUUACAUAAACAUUUUUAACUAUUUAUUAUUACGAUACAAUUUGUCAAAAGUUUACGAUUAUUUUAGUGGUGUAAUUUAGUGUUAAUAGUCUUAUUUUAUCGAAACUGUAAAUUGAUUUUAGUUACAAAAAAACUAAAAAUUGAUUUUUGCUAUACACGCAUUCUGAUGUGUACCACAAAAAAAAAGUUCAUAAAUUCAUAAUCGAAAUGAAUCUGAUUCCUUCGUCCACAAAGACACUGACAAUUAGUAAAGGUCUUUUUUUUUGGCACAUGUCUCCGGUCUGACCAUAUCAUUUGUCACCUCUCACUUAUUGCAUUUUCCCCACUCUCUAAAUAUCAAAAGUUAUAAGUUUAAUUGAAUGCACGUAAAAAUUAUUCAAUAUAAAAACAUAAUAAAUUCACUGAUAUGUUAAGUGUGUGGUAGGAGGAGUUUUUGUAUAUUCUAAUGGAAACUUAUAUUAUAUAUAUGUGAUUUUACGUUGUCUUUUUUUCUUUUUCUUUUUUGCAGCUUAUCCGGUUUUAAAGACCACACGUUUCUUGUUUAAAACCUCAAAAAUUGGUUAGAGCCUAGAGGAAGAGUUAGCUUUGUGUAGAAAAACCUCAGGAAUAUUGCAUUAAAAAUUAAAACUUGAAUCAUGGUCACAAGUCACGUAUAUCAAUAUGUCAUUUUCAUUCAGACGUUGGUUUGUCUAGCAUACGAAUUGAAAACUAUAAACUCAAGCUGAGUUACAAAAAAAACCGAAAAACUAGGGAGAUGGGGAAAAAAAGGAAGAAUGACGCUUUCGUUGCUCGCUGAAAAGGAGGAGAUAUCAUCUUCAGUUAUAAACCAAAGUUUGAUGGAAGCCGAUAUUCGAAGGUUCAUAUUCUUAUGUAUUUGUAUUUCCUAGCUUAUAUUGUAUCAGAGUUUCCUACUUAUGUAAUUCUCUAUAUAAAAUGCUCUUUAUUGUCUAGUAAAGAUACAAACUUUCCCCUUAUUUUCAUAACACGUUACCAGCACGAUAGCCUCUAGCCCUAAGCCCCCACGAAAUAUUCUUCAACUCAGUCGAAAAUCAUCAAACCCUAAACGCAAAAGAAUCUGCCUCGGAACUUCAAAGACUUCGUUCUCUCAACCCGUGAGGACCGAGAAAACGAUCAAGAUAUCAAAUCGAAGCCCUCGCCGAGACGAAUCCGUCAGUGCAAACCGCUUGUCGAUCUACCCUCACGGACGGAUACAGUGCGUGCCGAUUUGCUGUGGAAACCAAAUCCGAUUCCAACAAGGAUUUUCUAGCCGAACUCAACUCCUGUGCAAGAUAAGUUUAUCAUAUCUUAGUUGAUUCAUGUUAUCUUGUUGGCGUUCAUGUUAUCUAAUGCUCCUCGUGUUGUUUCAUGAGCCGAGGGAAUUAAAAUCUAAUAUCAACAAGGAGUUCAAGCCGAGAGGAGUUGCUGCCCGUGCGAUCAAACUCUCUUUUCCAUUCAGAUCAAAAGGAGUUCAUAGGUAAACUGUCUCAAACUUUAAAACUACUUAGAGGUCGAGUUUAAUUACAUUAAACUCGAACCAUACAAGAGAGAACUGAUCGCAUAUACCUUAAUAUGUGAUCAUAGAAAUCAAACCUAACCAACUAUGAAUACAUAAUUCGAUUUAUAUCCUUAUAAAUCAUAUAUUAUAUGUUGAAAACUUAGUAAAACAUGGUCAUAAAUUUUAAAUCUAAGAACUAAUCUAAACAUAAAAUCGCAUGACAUACAUGACAUGAAAAUCGAAUGUCAUGCUUAAAACCGAAAAUUGUAUAAACCUAUACUAUCUAAUAUGAUUCUAAUAAUUCUAAAACUUGAAUCAUAUACCUAAAACUAUAGUUUCAGAUCUGAUUAUGUCAAUAAUCAGAUCGCAUACUUGGUAUGCUUGAAAAACCGAUUCCUAAACAUCUAAAACCUAAUUUGCUUAAACCUAAAAAUCGCAUAGCUUUAAAAUUAAAACCCCCUUGAUGAAAACUUUCUAAAAUUGUUUUCACAUGCUGUUUAAAGCUUUUAAAAUCUGAUUGUUUGUUUAAAAAAAUCUGAUUGCAUGUUUUUAAAAUUAGAAAUCGCAUGCUAGGCAUAAAAUUUCAAUUAAGGCAUAAAAUUGCAAAUCGCAUGCUUAAUUGAAAUUUGAUUUAUUUGACCACCUAAUCACAUGCUAGGAUUAUUAAAACUUGAUUGUAUGAUCUGUUUGUUAAUAGAAAUUGCAUGUUUUAGGUUUGCAAAUCAUUUGCUAAACAUUAAAAUCAAAAUCGCAUGCUAGACAUAGAAAAUUAAAUCGCAUGUUUAAGUUUAAAAUCUGAUUUUGUUAAUCACAUGAUAGGAUUGAUAAAACCUAAUUGUUUGAUCCGAUCUCUAAUAGAUAUUACAUGUUUUAAUGUUAGAAAUCGAAACAUAAACAUUAAAACUGAAAUUGCAUGCUAAAAUCUAGAACCCUUAAAAAAAAAUAGGAAGGUUGUUACAAGGUUGUUACAAAGUUAUUAGGAUUUUUGUCUUAGCCGAUUUUAUGCUUGUAUAACUUGAUAUUUUUCAUGCAUAAAUACAUGUUUGAGGUUGUAUAAUUAAACUAAGAAUAAUUACAUGUUUUUGUGUCUAAAUCCUAUUAGAAUUAGGAUUUAAAAUUUAACCUAAAAUCUGAUCGCAUGCUUAUUGAAAUUUCUUGAAAAUUUAAAACUUAAUAAAUUUAAAUUAAAAUUCCAGAAUUUGAUCAUAUGAAACCUAGGGAUAAAAUUUCAUGAUUAGAUUGAAAUUAUUCAUAUGCUAAUUGAUUAAAAAUCGAUUAGACCUAGGAAAUUGAAAUCGCAUGAUUAAAUCCUAUUAGAAAUAGAAAUUGUCUUGAUCACAUGCUAUUGAUUGAAAUCUGAUUUGGUUGCUUGAUCACAUGAUAUGUUUAAAAUCUGAAUCGUAUGUCUUAACCAAAUCUAAUUCGCAUGCUUCAAACCCAAAAUCUGAUUUGUUUGAUCGCCUAGCUCGCAUGCUAAGAAAUUAAAAUUUGGAUUGAUUGUUAAAGAUAAAAUCCGAUUGCAUGCAGCAUGGAACCUAGAUUUAAUUUGCUCAGUCACAUGCUCACAUGAUCCAAAUCUGAUUUGCUAGUUGAUUACUUGAUUGAAAAUGAUGUCUUCCUUGUUUAAAACAUAGAGAUUGCAUGAAAUCCUAUUCGCAUGAUUACAAGCUUGUCCGUAGGAUCAAAACUUCAUCAUAUGCUAAACUUGAUUCGAUUACAUUGCCUGACCUAUAUAUGUUUUUUUUUAAACCUUGAAUCAUAUGCUGAAAAAUCUAGCAAAUCCGAAACACAUAACCAAAUCCUAAAACUGUUUGGAUUUGGCUUGGCCAAGACUAUACAUGUUCAUAUGAACAUUUGUAGGAUCGUUUCUCAAAGCCUUGGCCAAAUGAAAUCUUAGCCAAAUUUUAAGACAUGAUCACUUGUUUAAAACUUAAAAUCUGAUCAUAAAAUUACUCAUUGGCCGAAAUCUAUAAGAAUCCUAGAACCAUUCGGAUUUGGCCUGGCCGAAACUUAUGUUUGGCCUAAUGAACAAUCACAUGAUCUUUAAAGCCUUGGCCAAACGUAGAAGCUUGGCAUAGCUUAAAUCUUGAUCAAAUGCAAAGUCUAAAUUCUCUUGGACAACCUUUAAAAGACAUUGAUCGAAGGCAAAAGCUUGGCCAAAUUGAAAUUUCUAUUGGCGAAAUAUGAAAUCUAGUCAAAAUAAUAGAAUCUCUUGGCCAAAGCAUUUUGGUAAAAUCAUCUUGGCCGAAUCUCCUUGGCCAAAAAUUCUUUGGCCAAAGUCUUUUGAAUAAUCUAUCUUGGCCGAAUUUAAAUCCCUAUUAAUCUAAUCAGACUUAAUUUAUUUCUGGCUAUUUGUUGCACACUUUGAUUUAUUUAAUGCAUGAUGUUUUCAAAAUUAUUGUCUAAGGGAACAAAAUUUGAUAUUAAAUUACCUAAGUUUGGGAUUCAAUACGAGAUAAAUGAACAUUAAGUGUUAUUAUCUCGAGGGGGAGAAUCAGAGAAUCCCAAAAACCCUAAAUAAGUUAAGCAUCCACGACAACAAUAGCCUAAAUAGAACUCGGCCAAAACCAAAUCUGAAAAUAAAAUUGCACAACAGAAAGAUUAUAUGGAGAUUAAUGAUUGGCAAACCGGUCAUGCCAUUCCGGUUAAGUAUGCGACAUUCUAUUGAAUGGUUUAAGAUAUGCUGCCCCUUUGAAUAAGGGAAUUGAUAAUAUGAGUAUUCACCAUGAUAUUUCGAAAAUAAGCAAGGAAUUUCGUGGGCUUGAUCACCCACGGAUGGACUGAUCAUCCAUCAUAUGUGACGACAUAUGGUUGUACAUAUCCUUGUCAAAAUCUGCAAUAAGUUUGCAAGAGUAAUUGGUGAUACCGGUGGAUUUAUGAAUCCUUAUAAGUUGCAGCAAAAUUUGUUCGCAUAAUGCCAAAAAACAAAUAGAGACUCUCCCAUGAAUUUGAUAAAGGGUCAAGAAUUAAUGUUCCAUAUAGAGAACUUAAAUAAGUUGUUCCACCACAAAGCUAAGUUAUAAGAUGAGAUCUGAAAUUGAAUUAAGUGUAUACGUUGGAUAUAAAUCUUCAUAAGAAUACAUAAGGCCACAAGAGAUAUGAUUAAGGCUAAGCCAUGGAUUAGAUAAAUCCGUAUAUCCAACAUCAGGAAGAGAAAUAAUAAGCUGGUAAACGAUUUUGAGAAUGAAUAAUGAUCCUCAAAUAUGAAUAUAGAAUAAGAGUCCAAAGAAUGAAUCAUUCUCAGAACUUAAAUAAGUCAAUUGCCAGACAUGUUUGAUGACCCAAACUGAAAUAUACCAGCGGGUUACGCUCUAAUAAAAUUGAUAUUGGACUUAGUUAAGAUAAGACGGUUCCAUACAUGUAUUAAUCGAAAAUGAGAAGAGCAUAAAAUUGAAAUGGCAGAUCCGAAAUUAAGGUUUUCCAAAGGAAACCUUAGACAUGACCAUGAAUAAAGAUCAGGUACCUGAAAAUAAUAAGAUCUAAAUGCAUUAUGUCAUAUCUGGAUUAUAAAUGGAACCGGUAAAAUAAUAUCGACGUCGAUGAUGAUAUAAUAUUUGAAUACAAAAGCACUUGACAAAAGCGAAGAUCAUGAAACCAACGUCUAUCAAGAGUGCACUUGCCAGACAUGUUUGAUGACCCAAACUGAAAUAUACCAGCGGGUUACGCUCUAAUAAAAUUGAUAUUGGACUUAGUUAAGAUAAGACGUUUCAUACAUGUAUUAAUCGAAAAUGAGAAGAGCAUAAAAUUGAAAUGGCAGAUCCGAAAUUAAGGUUUUCCAAAGGAAACCUUAGACAUGACCAUGAAUAAAGAUCAGGUACCUGAAAAUAAUAAGAUCUAAAUGCAUUAUGUCAUAUCUGGAUUAUAAAUGGAACCGGUAAAAUAAUAUCGACGUCGAUGAUGAUAUAAUAUUUGAAUACAAAAGCACUUGACAAAAGCGAAGAUCAUGAAACCAACGUCUAUCAAGAGUGCACUUAGAGAAAUUACUCAGAGAAAUUGAUUAAGCAAAUUGAUAAUGCUAUAAGACGUGGUAUAUGAAAUCUCUUAAGAGAAGAGAUGUAGUCAAACCAGUUGGACAUAAGUAAGUCUUUCGUGAGAAAACAUAAUAAGAAUGGCGAAAUUGCAUAAGGUUCUCACAAAGACCUGAGAUCAAUUAUAAAAGAGACAUACUCCUAUGUGGUGGAUGCAACGACAUUCUGAUUCCUUAUAAGUCUGGCAAAUAAAAUACAUAUCUAUAUGGUCCACUGGAUAACAAAAUUUAUGUGAAAGUUCUAGAGGGUAUCGAACUACCGAACACAUCAAGUUCUCGAGAACAAUAUUGAAUAUCUUUAUGUGAACGACUUGAAUAUCUUAGGAACCUCUGGAGAAAUUUUUCAAAGAUAGAAUACAUCAAGAAAGAAUUCGAAUUCAACAUGAAAGGUUUUGGGAAAACAAGAUUAUAUAUUAGAUUAUACAUUGAGCACCUUGAAAAGAAAAUCUUUAUGCAUCAAAUGACAUACAUAGAUAACGUGCUCAAGAAGUUUGAUAUGGACUAAGCUUACGAAUUGACAAGUCCCAUAAUUAUAAGAUUUCUCAGUUUAGAAAAGAUAAUUUCGGCCCUAAUGAAGAAAAUGAGGAGAUCUUUGGUCCCGAAAUGCCAUGUCUAAGUGCCAUAAAGUUUUGACGGAUUUGGCGAGCCAUACAAGGCUAGAUAAAUAUUUUGCCGUAAUCUAUUAGCUAGAUAUAUCUCAUGAUCGACCCAAAGGCACUAGAACGGGAUUAUACAUAGUUUUGUUACCUACAAGGAACUAAAGACUUAGGUCCAUUUGAUACUAACCUACCCGAAGAAAGGUAAAUUAUUUUGGUGAUACAGGUUGUUUGUCCGUCCAAGUUCACUCAAGCGAGGAUUUGGUGGAUCUAAUUACUAAAGCGUUACUGACUUCCAGAGAUGUACUCAAUAGGGGGAGUAAUACGUGUUGUACUCUUUUUCCUUCACCAUGGUUUUAUCCCAUUGGGUUUUCCUUGUAAGGUUUUAAUGAGGCAACAUCCAAAGCGUAUUAUAAACCACUUCGGAGAUGGUCUUCCAAGAGGAAGUGUUAUAAACCAAGGUAUGGUGGAAGCCCAUAUUCGAAGGUCCAUAUUCUUAUGUAUUUGUAUUUUCUAGUUCAUAUUGUAUUAGAGUUUCAUACUUAUACUUAUGUAAUUUCCUAUAUAAAAGGCUAUUUAUUGUCUAAUAAAGAUAAAGAUUUUCUCCAUAUUUACGUAACGUCUUCAUCUUUGUUUUUGACACUUCUCCUUUUUUCACUUCUCAAUCAAGCUUAUUUAUUUAAUUCCGUUUUCCUUUAUCGUUCUCAAAUUACAUAUAAACGAAAAAGGAAUGAAAACAAUUCCACAAACGUCACAAUUCUAAAGCCUUUGUCAAAAAGUCACCAUUCUUUUUAUGUGUAGUUUGAUGGUUCUACGUAAAUAUCAUGACCGGUACGUUUUCUAACUUUACUGAUCAUUAAACAUACAUUCAUAGAAAAAAUAAGAAACAAGUAGGUUCUUCAUAACCUUUUUUUUUUGUUAAAAAAAACCUUUAAGAUUAAACCAAAUUGUUCCGGGUACGAAGCUGUCUUUCUUUAGAGUAUCUCCAAAAGACACUCUAUAACUUCAAAUAUGAAGUUUUUUUCUCUCCAAAAAAGAAAUUUGAAGUUUUGAGGAGUGAAACUCUAUAUUUGAAGUUUCACUAGUCAAAACUUCAAAUUUGAAGUUUCAUAUUUUUAUUUGCAUUUUGAUCCCUACAAUUACACAUCACAUUUAUGAUUCAUAAAUAUUUUCUUGUUUAUUGUUUUAAUCUUUAUAAAAAUUAUAUCUCAUAAAUAUUUUAAGUUUUCUUUACAACAUUUAAGUUUACACAUAAAAUUGAAUAAAACUUUAAAAUAAGAUUUAAAAUAUUUAAAACUAGAUUUAAAUAAUAAAAAUAUAUAAAAGAAACUUAACAAAUUUUUUAAAAAAAAAUUACAUGAAGACAUAACUAUUACACAUAUUUAAAUAUUACAACAACACUAAUAGUCAUGUAAGUUUGAUCUGGAACCUUCAAAAUUUCCAAAUAUUGUCCAAUUUCUUUUGUGUAACUGAAGAUGGUUGUUGUUGUUCUUGUUGUUGAUGAUGUCUUUUCGUACAAUUAUUUCUUGUUCAUAUGGAAUAUAUUCAUGAGUAUUAAUAUCAUCGAUAAAAUUUAGUCUUUUAGCAAUAUUUUAUGUUUUUCUUUUACUUUCUUGUUCUGAUCUAAUGUAUUUACAAGUAUUAAUAUCAUCUGAUUUCAACAAUUUUUAUCUCAAAUUUACAAAUUAAAAAUGAGGAGAACCAUUUUUACUUCGAAAUGCACUAGUAGAUCAUAUAUGCAUUACGAAAAUCACUUUAUGGAAUAAUAUAGUAUUUUGCUUGAAGUUUAAUAUUAAUUAAGUUAUUUUGUUUAAAAUUUUUAUAUUUUUAUAUAAUAUUUUAUUAAUUAUUAUUGUUGUACUAUGUUUAUAUACGUGCUAGUUAUUUACAAAUUUUUUAUGAAUUUAAAUUAGUUAUGAAAAAUAUAAGGACCAUAUUAUAAAAUACAAAUAGUUUUGAAGUGGAGUUUGAAGUUUUGCUUUUGGAGAAAAACACAUUUAAACUUCAAAUAUAGAGUUUUAGAAACUUCAAAAUAGAAAUUUUUUUUGCAGAUUUUCUUGUAAUACAGUAGUAACGAGCAUUAACUGGUCAGUGAACUUUUUUUUUCGUUAGAACUAGACCUAGAAAACUAUUACUAUUAUCCGAUAAUUAAUUGUAGAUGUUGACAAAAGAAUAACUGAAGAAAUCGGAUGAUAACGUUUCUUCAAAAUACAAAUAAAUCUAGAACGGGGUUGUUAAAAAUAUGUCACACACGUGACAUACCUUAAUCUAUGUAACAUUUUAUAAUAACGAUGACUAUCGAUCCAGCUAUCAAAUACUAGAUUUCUUUAUUAUUCGAGAUUGAGAAUCACAUUAUAUAGUUUUUAUAUAAUAUUCUCACCGUCUGGUUAUCGUAAACCUUGAAAUCAAUCUGAACAUUAAGCUGGAAACCCCUCUCAGGAAUUAUUUAUGCCAUGCCAUAAAUUAUUAUUUAUAACUCGACACAAUUCAUAAAUUGUAUAGAGUAUAAAAACGUAAACAGUACCCAACUAUAUAAGAAUAUGUAAGUCAGAACAGACAAUUAUUACUCAUUGACUAUCCCAACUAUAAGAAGAAUAUGCAAUAAACUAAGUGACCAUAUACCAAAGUCCCAUCCACAACCAAAUCGACAAAUGUAUAUGCAUGUGUGUAUAUAUAUAUAUAUAAUAAUUAAUAUGUAUAUAUGUUUUUACUAUACAAGUUAAACAUUUUCCUUCUCAAUUAAUCAUUUUCACAAACGCAAAUUUGAGCUGAAAUUGAUCACUAUAACACGUAAGUUACAUUUGCAAAAUGAAAAGCUAUCGAGAGAAAAACAGAAAAACGUGAAAUGUAAAAAGAACCAGGGUUUAAUUCAUAGUAAAUGAUUAUUCGCUUCGAUCAAAAUCUUGAAACUUUUUGUGUGGAAUAUCUUUUUUAAUAAAAUAACUUUUUCAUUUUUUUUAUACUAUUAGAUAUUUUACAAAAUCUGUUUAAUACUCUCUCCCUCUGUAUCGCUUUAAGUGGUUUUGGUUUUUAAGGUUUCUGCACAUAAAUUAAGAAAACACAAAAUUUUAUAUAAUUUAUCUUGGUUACAUAAAAAUAUUAUUAAAUGAAACUAAUUCAACCAAUAAAAAAAAUCUCAAUAUUUUGUAAUUGGUCAUAUAGUUCAAAUGAUAUUAAAUUCUAUAUAGAAUAAAAAGAACAUCAAUUAUUUUGAAACAAAAUUUUUUUCUCUAAACACCAGUUAAUGUGAUACAGAAGGAUCAGUUAAAGUGAUACAGAGGGGGGAGAAAGCCAUAAAUUGAUUUCGUUGAUCCUCUAAAAUGAGCUGCCAAACGAAAAUUAACCUUCAAAUUCUACCUAAAUAUAUACAUUCUUUUUGUUGAUUAACUUAUAUGAAAAGCUUUAUUUCCCCUCCAACUGAUGAUAUAUUACCAUAACUGGAUAAAUUUCAGUUAAAAAGUUAAUAUGCUCUCAUUUCAUAAAUACUAAAAUAAUUACAAAUCAUAUUGAAAUGUUAUAAUAAGAAUAAAAUCUCUUGACUGGGAAAAGAAGCAAAGAAAUUUCUCUUCCACUAUAUAUGCGCUUGACAUAUGUGACAAAGACCCCCAAAGAAUAAAAUCACAGAGCACUCAGCGGAAGAAAACUCAUUAAAUCUCCGGCAAAACUCCAGCGUAAUCUAUGGCGGAGGAGAAUCAAGAUCACACCCUAGAAUUGAAACCAAGAAGAAAACAACCACACUUUGUGCUAAUACACGGCAUGAGCUUAGGAUCAUGGUGCUGGUACAAAAUCAAAUGUCUCAUGGAAGUCUCUGGCUACACAGUCACUUGCAUCGACCUCAAAUCCUCCGGCAUCGAUCCUUCCUCUGCCGAUACUCUAACUUCCUUCGACCAAUACAACCAACCACUCAUCGACUUCCUCUCAUCCUUACCAGAAAAAGAACAGGCCAGACACACGCACACAGAAAACCCUAAUUGUAACUGAUUCUUGUACCUGAAGUAAACUUACUCUGCCUUCUCUGUUCUGUUUUUGUCAUCAGGUGAUACUUGUGGGUCACAGUGCAGGAGGGCUUAGUGUAACGAGCUCGAUCCAGAGAUUCCCUAGGAAGAUCUGUCUGGCUGUUUAUAUCGCAGCCACAAUGCUCAGAUUCGGGUUUCAGACAACUGAAGAUUUGAAAGAUGUAACAAAAGAGAAAAAAUAUUAUUUCAAAUGAAGGUAACUUGUGUGUGACGUUAUGUUGUUUUGUCACAGGGAGUGCCUGACCUAUCAGAACAUGGUGAUGUCUAUGAGCUCGGUUUCGGUUUAGGACCGGAGAAUCCUCCUACUAGUGCCCUUAUCAAACCUGAGUUCAGACGAAAGCUCCUUUACCACAUGACUCCUCAACAGGUUUCUCUAAGUUUCAUUUCCUAUAAAAGCUCAAGAUCCAAAAGUGUUAUCCUAAUGAUAUGUGAUUGUUCUUGUGAAUGUUAAGGAGUGUGUAUUGGCUGCGUUAAUGAUGAGACCAGCUCCGCUUCUGGCGCUCACAACUGCGAAAAUGGAAGAGGGAAAAGGAAAAGAAGAGGAGGAGGAGCUGGUACCGCGCGUGUACAUCAAGACAUUGCACGACCGGGUGAUGAAACCGGCGCAGCAGGAGGCGAUGAUGAAACGGUGGCCACCGAGACAAGCUUAUGAAGUGGACAGUGACCAUUCACCUUUCUUCUCUAACCCUUUUGUUCUCUGCGGUUUACUCAUUAAAGCUGCCGUUUCUGUGGGUUCUAUCUAAAGCACAAAGGAUUAUGCGUGUGUAUUGUUGUUGUAGUUGUGUUGUGUGUGGUUGAUUGAGAUACCGGUUAAGUGAUCGGUUUAUGGUUCUAGUGGAGAUGGUAUUUAAUAAAAAACAAAAUUGUUUAAUUUAUUUUAGUUUAUAACUUUAUACUACCUUUUGACUCGCGCGCCCACGCGGGUUUUGUCUUUCAUAAUUAUAUGUUUUUAUUUUUUGACAAUACCAUAAAUUUAAUUGCUUAAAUUCUUGUUAUGAAUCAGUUAUUAAAUUUGACAUUGAUGUGUCUUGUUCAAUGUGUUUAACCUCUAUUUAUAAAUUAUGAGAUUGUUUUUUCAUAGUGCUUAUAUUCAUUUUAUUUGGUAAAAUAAACAUUAAAGUGUCAAAUAUUAGAGUUUUAAUUAUACUUGUGUGUUUUUAUUUAAUUAUACUAUAAAUAUUUUGAUGUAAAGUUGAAUACAAAGUUCAAAUUUGAAAUAGAGAUUUUUUAAAAACAAAUACAUUAUUUAGACAGAAACAUAAAUAAAAUAGUAAAAAGUUUUAUUUUCCAUAAUUAUAUGUUUUUUAAUUUUUGACAAUGCCAUAAACUUAAUUGUUUAAAUUCUUGUUAUAGAUUCAUAGGUUAUUAAGUUUUGACAUUGGUGUGUCUUGUUCAAUGUGUUUAACCUCCAUAUAUAAACUAUGAGAUUGUUUUUUUAUUGUGCUCAUAUUCAUUUUAUUUGUUAAAAUGAACAUUAAAAUGUCAAAUAUUAGAGUUUUAAUUAUACUUGUGAUUUUUUAUUUAAUUAUACUAUAAAUAUUUUGAUGUAAAGUUGAAUAUAAAGUUCAAAUUUGAAACAGAGAUUUUUUAAAAACAAAUACAUUACUUAGACAGAAACAUAAAUAAAACAGUAAAAAGCAAGUUACCAGAAAAAACAUUCAAAAAUAAGUACAGCUUGUUGAAAAUUUAAUUAGCAAGCCUAAUUUAAUUAAGUGUUGGGACAUUUUGUUAUGAUUAAAAUUUUAGUACAUCAUAAUUUAUGAUUACUUCGUGGAUGGUUAUAUAAUAGAUCCAAGCCCAUAUAUUAUUUUUCUGGGAAAAAAAAAUAGAAACAUAUUUCUUUUUGUGAGGAGAAUGACGUGAUUUUUGGUUUUUCUUUUUGUUUUUUUUUUACCGGCAAUAGAAGUUUUAUUAAUGUGUUGGGUCAAUUAUACCACAACUGGACUAAGGCCCAAAACGAAAAGACAAAUACAUUCAUGUCUUCGUGACUCGUGAGGAAGCAAGUUGGACACGUCACCCACCGCUUCGAACAGUCUUCGACUCCGACGAUCACCACCGUCAAUGUCCACCGUUCAAAUCUCAUGCAUCUGAAUAUUGACCCAAAACUCCGGUCGUUUCACCUUUGCCGCCUUAAUCUUCCUCUUCAUCGGUUAUGCCCAGCUGCUAGAGAAGCGUAACCCUUUUUCAUCGAAAAAUCACCGCGAGGAUAUUAAGACCGCCCACUCAGGACUGACGGCAAAAAAAUAUUGCUAAUAAUACUCCCUAGAAACAGAAGAAAUUCACCCAAAAAAAAGUAAGAGAAGGAAUAAAAUCAAUUGAAACCGGUGAGACGCCAUUAAAUCCAAUCUAAGAUCGGAACUGAAAAUCAGUCUUAACCGAGAGUAAUAUAUUUACAAACAAAACCCAUCCCGAAAGACUGAAACUUUAGUAAAAUAACUUCAACUUUAUUUAAUCUUCAACCGAUGAAAGAAAUAUAAACUUGAAAGAACUUAUAUCGGAAUAUUGAAAAUCACAACAUAAAGUCUCAUAGAUUGAAAUAUAAAACAAUUAAAAACAAAACAGUCCGGCUAUGGUCGGAGAAAUUCCGAUGUGCCAGAAAUCACUCUCUCUUGUAAAGAUAAAUAUGUGAUCAGAGAGAAAGAUGCAACUCGUGUGAUUUGAUUUUAGGUUUAAGAUACACGUAAUUUAAGGUGAAGUAACGUCAAUUUAUUUUAGUUGGGUUAGGAAAAGUCUAAAACGACAGUUUAGAUAGGUAGGUCUUAGUAAUUAUUUAUGAAAACCCAGGGCUAAGUAAUAUACUCCAAUUUUAAUAGUUUAGACGACAAAACGCUUGUACACGCCCUUGAUCCAAAAAAACGCCUGAACGCCUCUGUAUCUUCUACUAUAGCUGGUGGAACCAAUAGCGUAAGCUUUUGUACUGUCUAGCCAACACGUAUACGUGCAUAAAGCUUCUCAGUUUGGUUAACACAGAAAACUCUUGUAUUUCUUCUCGAAUCACUGAAGAAGCGGACGAACUGGAAUGUGGAGUCAACUGUUGAGAUAAGAGCCAUGCACAUAAUGUUCACUAAACUCAACAGUUGUACAGUAGUAUUCUCCACAUUGAUAUUGGCAUAGUAACACCAUAACAAAAUAAACUCCACACUUGUACUGUUGGUAUUCUACACGUUGUUUUCUUCUUCUACUUUGGUGUGUGGAGUUUAUUUUGUUAUGGUGUUAAUAUGCCAACAUCAAUGUGGAGAAUACCACAGUACAAGUGUAGAAGACAUGAAAAUGAAGUCUCGAUGCGAAGUAAACAUUUGUCUCUUAGCAUAUUCACUAGUUGGAUUUUUAACUUUAAAGGGAGCAUAGCCGUUUUUACUUAAGGAACAUUAGAGAAUACGAUUUAAUUCAAUUCAAUUCAAGAAAGAUGCACACCAACAGUGAUUGUCAUAAAAUCUAGACAUUUAUUUUGGCAAUAAAGAGUUUCAGAAAAUCACUGACGCGGAAGAUUUGGCUUCCACACUUGAUGGUUCAGAACCUGUGCUCGAGUUUCUCCUGUUCCUGGAAGUGCUGAGCAUACCUACAUUCAUUCAUGUAUUUGAAGAUUAAGCAUAUACUUUUCUAUCUCAGCUCUGUACUAAACUUAAUUAUAUUCUCAGUUUUUUUUUUAACGAAUAUUCAGUUUCAAAAUCUAAUAAAUACUCUUCAUCAGCUACCUACAUACAAGCACCAAUAACACAAAAACGUAAAACUAGUAGUACAACAACCAGAUUCGAAGAACAAUCAAUCACCAGAAUCAUUGAUAACGAUUCGAGAAGAGAGAGAGAGAGAGAGAGAGAGAGAGAGAGAGAGAGAGAGUUACCAGUAGGUUCCGAGGACAGGAGUGACGAGGAGAGUGGCGCUGAUCCAAUUCUCCGAGACCUUGUGGUGGAUCUUCUCCGGGAGAUCCUUCCAGAGUCCAGUCAUUAUCUUCUGCUGAAACGGCGAUAGCGCGUAUACCACCGCCUUCAACUUCACCGGCUGCUUCCCCAUCCUCUUCUCUUCCCCCCCAACGAGACGACGACGAAUCUCCCACAAAAACACCUGAAUUGACCUAAAAAAAUAAAUAAAACAAAUCUCAACGAACCGUACGUUUUCAAUUCGAUUUUGGUACGGUUGCAGUUACGAUUUAAACCGGAUGACCUGGGUCAACAUUUUUAUCUUUGAUUCGGUUUGUGUAAACCGAAUUGGAUAACCACAAACCUGGUGAGUUAGUCUGUUUUAAGUUAACAACAGCAGCAACUUGGGCUCAAACUACAUGGCCCAAAUUUGAGUGAUUCUUGAUAUUAGUGGACGCUUGUUAAUAUUUGCUAUUUAUGUUAGUUUCUAAUUUUGGAUGUACUUGAGUUUUAAUAAACUUUUAGAUUAUUUAAGGUGAGUUAUAAAAGUUAUUAUGAUUUUAUUAUAAAAUAUAUAUGCCCUAAACUAUAAGAUUUGAAUCUUUUUAUUUCUAAAUAAGAAUUUAUCAAAACACUUUGCAAUCACUAAAAACUACUAAAAAAAAAGAUUAAUCAUUGGUGAAUUUGAAUGGAUCAUUCUUGUAGAAAUAGAUAAUUUCUUUAUUAACAAUAGUCACUGCCAAGAAUUUAACUUGAAUCUUAUAGAAUAUUAUCCAUUGGGUGAGGGUAGUUGAAACUCUUCAACACACUAAUCUGUCGGUGGUCUCACCCACACGACCAAACCCUUUAAACAUUUCUUUCUCACUUUCCCACAAUAGUAUUAUUAUCAAUAUCAUAAUUAAUACUAUAAAUCCAAAUUAAUUAAAUUUAAGAAACUAUAGGAGAACUAAUAAUAAACGCAAAUAAAUAAUCGGAAAAUCGACAAAAUUCACUUCACUUCUUCUCGGCUGUGUGAGGAGGAAUUAGAGAAGAAAAAAACCGAUCCGAUUCGAUUCCACAACCUUCAAAUUCGAUAUUUGGUUAGCUCUCGUUCUCAAUCUGGUGAAUUAGGGUUUCUGUUGAAGCUGAACGAUGAUGGGUGUACCCACCGGAUUAGAAGGUGGGGCUUCUCUCUUUUGCUGAAACCUUAAGCUGGUUCUUUCGCCCAUGGGUAAACCCGAGGAUGACGGCAACAGCCUCCGCGCCGGAGGAGAAGCUCUCGGCGAUUCCGCGGAGAGGAGGAGGAAUGCUCCUCCUCGUCGUCGUCUUCGUUGUUGUUGUGGGUGUUUCGAAUGGAUCUCGGGGCUUGUUGGGUGUAAAUGCCUCUUCGUGCUGCUUCUCUCCGUCUCCUUGUUUCUCUCCGCUUUGUUUUUGUUGCUUCCUUUUGGCGCCGUGGAUCGUGGGGGUUCGAGUCUCGAUCCCAGAUUUAAAGGUUAUUCCCUUUUUUCUUCUAGCUUUGUAUUGAUAAAAGUUUCCUGUUUUGGCAUUGAAUCUACUCUUUGAUUGAGUCUUGUGUUUACUCUCUGUGUAGUAAUGAAAUUGGUAAUCUUUUAUUACAAAAGCUAUUUUGGGAACGAGGUUUGACUGGGAAUGAAUCUUUGCUAUUGUUAACUAGGGUCAGAGAAGAGUCAAAGCUGUUUAUCAUCUGCAUAGCUUAGAGAGUUCCAUGUUUGUGUACAUUGUAAGUAGAAGCUUUAUAGUUAUUGACAUAGUAGUGAUGCUUGUUCUUUCGUUUGGUCUUGACUUUCACUCUAGAUACAUGUUGAUUCUACGUUACUGAUGAACAUAAGACAUCUUCUUACAGCUAGGACAUAUGAGAUAAUAAACCAAUGCUGAUUUUUAAGUUCUUAGUGCUCCAUUUUCAUGUCAUGAAUAUGGUUAUUGGUUUCCUUAUUGUUGAUUCUUUCUCACACUUACAAUAUACUUUCACUAUUGAUGCAGGUCAUGCUGUAGUAGCGAGUUUUAGCCUCAAUAGACCAAAAUCUUUUCUUAAUGAACAUCUCGCGCAGCUUCAGGACGACAUCUUCCAAGAGAUGAGCUACAUUUCCAUCAACGUAUGUUUCAUCCUUUUAUCCUAGUUAUGAUCUCAGUUUCUCUUCUGAUACAUCUUGGUUCAAAUGACUUCAACAGGUAACUAUCCUAGCCCUCGAGUCACACGGACUGAACACAACAAAGGUUGUGUUUGGAAUCGACCACGAUACAGCAUACCGAGAGAUAUUUCCUCUCUCUUUGAGUACUAUCAAGGGGAUGUUCGAAUCGGUGCUGAUAAACCAAUCCACUCUUCAGCUUACCAAACCCCUGUUUGGGGACACUUUCCUUUUCGAAGUUCUAAAGUUUCCAGGAGGAAUCACUGUGAUUCCACCUCAAAGUGCGUUCCCGCUGCAGAAGUUCAAGCUUUCUUUCAACUUUACGCUAAACUACUCCAUUCAUCGGAUCCAGAUAAACUUCAAUACCCUUGCUAUUCAACUCAAGAAUGGCCUGAAUCUCGCACCAUACGAGGUUUGUCACAAUAUGCAUAUGCUUUAGUAAGUGUUAAUGUGUUGAGUUAGAUUGUUCUUACAAGGAUUAUGUUUGAAUGCAGAAUCUGUAUGUAACCUUAUCAAACGCAGAGGGUUCCACCGUGUAUCCCCCUACGACUGUUCACUCAUCUGUUUUGCUGAGAGUCGGGACUUCAAAUCCAAGCCCAAGACUGAAGCAGCUGACUGAUACCAUCACGGGCUCACGCUCGAAGAACCUUGGCCUGAACAAUACCAUAUUUGGUAAGGUCAAGCAAGUUCGUCUGUCAUCUUUGCCAAACAACAGUGAUAGCAGCACCAACUCUCCAUCACCUUCACCUUCCCCUCAUCACCACCAUCACCAUCAUCAUCACCAUCAUCAUCACCACAACCAUCAUCACCACCAUCACCACCACCACCACCAUCAUCAUCAUCAGCUUAGCCCAAGUAUAGCUCCUGCUAUUUCACCUGUGGCCUCUCCUGUCCCUCAGAAAAGUCCUAGAAUUAGAAGAGCUCCAUCUGCACCUCCGCCCUGCAACUCAGGGAAUAGAAGAGGACAAAGAGUACAUUUCAAGGAUAAACAUUUGCAUUUCUCAUCUACACCUACUCCCACGCCUUCUCCUUCCCCUCCAUCACAUCGUCCUCCUCGCUAUUCUGCUCAGCCACCACACGCAUCACAUCAUUCUCCUCGCUAUUCUGCUCGACCACCACAUCAUCAGCUGCACUCACCGGCCCCUAUUCCUGCAGCCAAGCCUCAUAUAGUUCCAGUCUCUGCCCCUCUACCUCAUGUGGUGUUUGCCAAUGCAGCUCCACCACCGAAAACCAAACCAAGUGAACCGCAGCACGCAAACGAAGUUUCUCAUCCUCAACCGCAGACAUCUUCAUGUAAGUUUCUUACUUAAACAAUCAUCCAAUUUUGCAAAGAGAUAUCAAAUCAUAAAAGCCCUUUUCUUUCUGUCUUUGGCUGCAGCUAAUUUGAACUUACCAGCUACGCCAUGGAUUGUUCUACUCAUGCUGAUAGCGGCUUGGCUUCGUGAAUAAUGACAGUAACAUGUCUAGUACAUCGUAUCAGAACCUCCUCCUCCUCUCCCUCAACCGGAUACUCAAAACUUAAGUGUAUAAAAAAUGAAUUCAUAUGGAGACUAGAGUUGUUGUUAUAGAAUGUUGCUGCACAAAAGUGUGCAGCCUUCUACUUAAUUCUCUAAGAGCUUUUUGUAUAUUAUGCUUCUGAAAGAAAAAGCAAGAAUUUUCACUUUGUUCUUUUCUUUAAAAUUAAAGACCAAACUUUAAAAACCCUGAGUUUUACAACACAGGGAAAAAAGUCACAAAGGUGUUUUUUGUAUAUAUAACAAGUCAAUGGUCCGUCUACUUUUGGGUCAAGAUGAGUAAAAAAAACGAGCUAUGUCGGAUUCAGGUAGCCACAAGAUGGAGACCUGACCGGGGAAGAACGCAUGAGUAGGUAACGUACUUGACACUGUCUAGAAGCACCACCACGAAGAUCCGGGAAAGUGAUUUCGGGUUUGAGGGCAUGACUCUAUCGGUUUCAGAGUCAACGACCUCCCUUGGAUCAAGCAACACUGAAACAACCAUUGAUGAUGAUGUGGGUUUGGUAUUAGCUUUCCCAUGAAAGCUCUUGUUUUGGGCGUCUUUGCUCGCCUGGGCUUCCGUGAUGUUAAGCUCAGAUGCCAAACGUGAAACCGGAAGCCCCUCGAGAAUCCUCCUGUUCUUCAUUCUCUUGUCUCGGGUGGUGGUGACAUUCUGGAGAUGCUCCCUUGUAAUGUUGGAGACUGAUGAUGGGACGAUAGCACCUGGAGAAAUAUCGAACUGGAAGACCUCGGUGCACAUGCUGUAAUCCAUUAGUGUCCCUACAAUAGAUGCAGUCAAUUGUUAGCUCUAAGAUCAUUCCAUUUAGUAGAACAAACUACAAGAAGAGCACCAGAAUUACCUGCGCCACCUUCAUGAAACCACUGGUGAAGUCUUUUCCCAUCAGGCGAACCAGAAGAGAGAGCCUUGGAAGAAUGUGGAAGCAUUGCCCCAUUUCCUCUCACAUCAGGGACAGCUAAUGCAGAAGACAGAGUACCAGGAACCGUCAACUCAGGUUCUUCGCUUUUUAUUGUCUCAGACACAUUCUUCUUAGCUUUCUCGCUAGCCAAAACAGAAUGAAUGAUCAAGUUCCCAUCGAUCUUCACAAGCCCAUCGUUCCUUGGAACGUAGAGAGAAGCAAAGAGAGGCUCACUGGAAUUGCUCACUCUUCCUUCUACUCCCCCACAACUAUCUCUACUAGAAUGGACACUUCCUCUUCUAACAUCAGACCCAUCGCCAACCAUAAGAACCUUCCCUCUGUGCUCAUCAUAAUACCUACGACCCUCAUACUUAGCCAAACCACUAUCUCCUCCAUUGUCAACAUUCAUAAACGGAACCAACGUACCAAACACGAAUAUAAAGAACAGAAUCCCAAUAAAACUGAUACUAGCAACCUUCUUGAGCUUGCUUCUCCCCUCUCCCUUCUUCGGUCUACUACAACUCGGGAGAGGCAAUUUAGGAACCAAUGGAAUCUGUGAUCCAUAAGGAUACGGCGGAGGAUACGGCAUCCACUGAUAAGGUAAAGGCGGUGCAGCCAUGUAAGGAUUCAUAGGAGCAGGAGCACCAGAAGCAGCCAUCAUCUGCUGCCUUAACGCUGCAUUCUCAGCCAUAACGUAAGAUAUUUUCCCGUUCAAUUCAGCAAUGGUGGAGUUCAUGCUCUUCACUUUCCCUUGAAGCUCCUCAACGUAUUGCUUCUUCCUUAAUCUCGAAAGCUGAGCGCUCUCACGGUUCCUUAUCAGCCUCACCUUCUUCUUCUCAUCGUCCUCUCCCACAGGAGUUGCUGAUUUCUCAUCAGACUUUUGAUACUUGAAGCUCCUGUAAUCUCCUCCAGAGUCUCCCUUCUUCCUCUUGCUCUUGCUCACAGAAGACUUCUCAGGGGAGGAUGACGUGUCGCAACCGCCUGACGCCAAAGUCUUCGAGCCUUGCGACGAGACCUGAGAAUGAACAGAGUCAGAUCGAUCUUCUAAACCUCUAUCGACGUUCUUCGUCUCCGGUGAAUCCAUAUUCGCAUGGUUCGCGUUCGAUUCUGUGAUUGCCACCGGGUGAUCCGCGUCGAGGUCGAAAUCGAAGAAAUCGACAGAAUCGUCAAACGAGAAAUCCAAAUCCGCGAAGUCUCCGUUCUCGUCGUCGAGGAAGAAGCUUAGAUCGGAAAUCGGAUCGGAAGCAGAGAGGAAGAGAGGAUCUAGCGGCGGGACUGAGAUCAUAUCGGGAUCUGCUAGCGUAUUAGGGUUCAGAUCAGGUAUCUCCGGUGGGUUAGCGAUUGAGAAUGUGGACUCCGUCAUCACCGUUGGUUGGUUGAAUUUUUUUUUUUUUUUCCUUCUGGCUUCUUUCUUUCUCUUCUGGAUUAUUCCACACGUUUUAUUUUGGGAAGAAGAAGAUGACGUUGACCAGUUUACUUAACAAACGGGGUAAAGAAUGUUACCUACACGCGGUUGGAUGCGCGUGUAACUGAAGCGGAGUUCACGAGUUUGGUUUUACACGUGUAGAAUAUUUUUUUGGUUGGAUUUCUUUAUCUGAGCAUGGAAACAAUUUCAUAUAUUUAAUUUUCCGAAUAUAAAAUAAAUGAUUUAUAAAGUUUAUUAUAUUUUGGUUCCAGAUCUUAAAAAAAUGAAAACCAUUAUUUUAUUAAAAAUCAUUUUAUUAAUUAAUUAUUGCAUUGUUGGCUUGUAGCUUAAGGUGUUAAAACGGGCUAUCCGGAUCCGUUUAUGCCUUUCCCAUCUAAAGCUUGUUACCACAUGCCCGCUAGACUGCGAACCCGUUAAAGCCCGUUUAACUGCAAACCGUUUAACAUAAAGCUGUCCGUUUAGGCCCGUGAGCCCGUUUAAAUACAGAUUUGUUAUUUUUUUUGCCAUGUAAUCUAAAGAAAUUGUUUUAUGUAAUGACAUUGUCUUUGUUUUAAUUAUUUCUUUUAAGUAAUGUUAUUGAUUCUUUUUUUUUAAGUAAUGGUAUUGAUUCUUUUAUUUUAUUCUAAAUGCAGUUUUAGUGUUAAUGUUUUUGUGUAUCUAAUACAUAUUUAAAAUCUGCAAGUACAUCAAAACUGAAACUUAGAAAGUGAAAGACAACAAACCAUAUGCAUAAAGAAGUUUGAUAUAUAAAUAUUGUUACACUAUCGGUGUUGUAUUAUGAAUGAAAUUCAAAAGGUAAAAUUUAAUAUAACAAAUAUACAUAUAUAUAACGGAAGUUUUAAAAAAAAAAUACAUAUAACGGAGCUAAAUAAAAUAGGUGGAGUAUUUUACAUUUUCAGAAACCAACUAAUAGUCGUUCGAGACGUGAAAUCGACUAGACAAGAAUCUCCUAAAAACAGAUCCACUCAUGCCGAAAGACUUUUUUUUUCUUUACUUAUUGUUCGUAUGAAGAAUUCUUCGAGAUGGCAUACUUCUGAACUCCUUUUGAGUGUCAUACAUGCACCAAAGGAUUCCAGGCACAAGAUUCAUAUGGUAUCUCAACUUUCGGCAACCGAUCUAACCAGGCGAGCCACGUGAAUCACUUUGUCACAAGCGGAGGUGGCCAAUCCAAAUAAUUACAAACGUCAGCAACGUGCCUAAUCCAAUUAGUUAUGAUCAUUAUCAAAAGCUAAAGACGAUGAAAUCUUAAUGACAGUAAAUAAGAGCAUGAUUAUCCCUAGAAACCCCGUAAAGUUUCUUAAGUACAUUUUAAUGAUUAUUUAACUAAUAAAUUUUAGCUAAAGACUUUAGUUAAAAAUCACCUAAUUUUUGUGAUACAAUAGAAGUUUCUUAAUUUGAGUUUCUUAAAAAAUUUUAAUUUUUUUUAUUAAAUGGUCACUAAAUUCUACUAGUAGAUGAUCACAAACUCUUAAACUAAAACAAGAAUCGAACUUCAAGUAUCACAAGGAGCAAGACCUGGGGUUUGCGAACCAUGUCAUGGACUUGAAAGUAGUCAAGUAUCUUGAUCUUCUCCAGGUGGGAUGCGACUUUACAUUGAAUCGGAUCCAUCUUUAAGAGCAUUCAAACCUCUUCCAUAACAAACAGAACAUUUCAUCAUCUGAUUUUCCUUCUAAAACACCGGCUCUCCAUCAGCAUUGCACAUUGGACAGACAACUUCUCCUCUCCCUGUGCAACCUAUUAAUCAAAAUGCCCUCAUCAAAAUAAUAAUUCAUCCUAACGGUAACUAUGGACAUAGAUAUAAUGUUACAUGUGCACUUGUCAACUGUCUCAGAAUGAGGAACUGGGACUCAAGAAAUGGCUUGCUCCAGGAACUGAUCAUUUCCUGUCAGACACAUCAACCACAUCCCAGCAGCAUGAGAGAUUUAGAUAAGACGUAAUACAAGGUCAUAUUUAUCAACAAUCACACUGAUAAAACACUUCAUCUUAAAACCAAUGCUUAGUCUCAACAACAAACACUUCCAUUAAUACUACGCACCUCUUAACAAAGGCUAACUAAACAUUCUCUUGGUUCCAAUUGAAGUAUGCAACCAAAUAAAAAAAGUAUGGAAUUAUCUGUACCUGGGAGCUUGCUCGAAAAGACAGACACACCAAUGAUACCUUAGGAACAACCAAACUCUCUGCGUUAACCUCACUGCUACCAGAAGUAACAAGCAACUUCAAGACUUUUCCACUAGAAAGAGUCACAACCAAUUCCGAAAAUUUCACAGCUGACACAGCAUGAAUCACAGUCUUAUUCGCAGUUGUUAUCUGCAACAACAUCAAUUAUUAGUUAAGAAACUUCACAAACCCCAUUGAUCAUGCAUAGCUAAGAACAAAGAAAACCAGAAUCUCGGGUCUUUUUAUUGUGACUACUACCAUCAAUCAUUACCUUACCACCAUGUUCCUUAAACUCUUUCGUAUCAGCAAAGUACCCCUGAUUCAUCUCAUAGCUAAGCAGACAAACCCCCAACUGGUUGCUUCUCAUCGUCCCAUCAGUAAUAACAAGAUAAAAGAUCAAACUUCAGCAAAAAAAAUCUCAACUUCAAAUCACAAUCUCAAAAGGAUGAACCACACAAACCCCCAACGAUCAAGUUCUGAUACAUGUACGUAGUGAAUACACGAUUGUGAUCAGUUACGUGAAGUCAACAAAGCCAAAAAAUUGCAUUAAGAAUCUAUGUACCUUGUUUCCAUCUCGAGUAAUCACAAAGUCCCGAGAAGGAGUCACCAAAACAGAGAAUCAACACAAUUUGAAAUAAAUGAAAUCAACGCAGACGGAGAAGACGAAGACGGAGAAGAUGAUAAAAAAAGGAAAAGAAAGAGAGAGAAGAAAAAAUUCCAUUAAGGAUCGAUUUCUAAAAUCACUAAUUAAGGAUCGGUAAGAAGGUUUUUAUUUAUUUUUGAUUUAAUUAAAUCAAUCAUUUAACUUAAAAACCCCGGAUUGCCGAUAAUCAUGGUCUAAUGCUAUAAUACAAAGAUUUGAUGUUAUUGAUCUGCUUUUAAGCUAGCUUUAGACAAUAUAAUGAAAACAGUCAUGAUGUGCGUUUUGUUUUGUUUUUAUGUCAAAAAAAAACUCAUGACAGUUUUCAUUUGUCAUCAAUGCCUUAAUUAAUCUCUUGUUAGCUUACCGUGUCCACCGGUCAAAUUAGUAUUUUGAAAGUCUACAUUGUGAUAAAUGAAUUAGAUGUACGUAUACAUGUGAUUAUGAUCUUGUCCUAUGUGAUUUUUUGAAAUAUACUCUCUCUGUUUCACAAUGUAAAUAGUUUAGAAUAAAAGCACUAAUAUUAAAAAAGUUUGGUACUUUAAAAAAUAAUAUUUAACUAAUUAGUUCAAUUAAUUAUAAAAAAUUUGAUAUUAUUUGAUUGGUUACGCUAUAUCUAAUAAAUGUAAAAAUUAUCUAGAUAUUUGGAAAUUACUUACAUUUUGAAACAAAAGAAUUUUCUUUAAACUACUUACGGUAAAUAACGAAAGGAAUAUAUAGAUAUAUGAUUUAGGCUUCUUUUCUAAUAGUUUAUUAUAUAUAUGAAGGUACUGUGAGCGAUAAAUUAUGGACGAAAUUAAAUAUGUGUCGUCUUUAUUGAAUUGGUAUGACUAUAUAUAUAGUAACCCCCACGAAAGUCACAAGAUUUGCAAUUUUUCCUCUAAAAUAAUAUAGACCCAUCAACUUAGAUAAGCUUCUUUUUGAGGAAGAAGCGUUUGAGAUGCCAAACUUGAAAAAGUGAAACAACAACAGAGAGCCCUAAAGACAUAAAGCUAAGCUGUGAAACCCUCUUGUUAGUCUUCUCGUUUAUCUCCCUCAUAGCUGCUUCCCUGUAAUUUUUAUAAAUAGUAAAACAAAACAAAAAUAUCUUAUAUCAAAAAAGAAAAGAUUCACUAAGACAUAUAGAGAGAUAGGUAAAUAGAUAGAUGAUAGAUCGUUAAAUAACCUGAAUCUUAGAAAGAGAAUGUUUGCCCUAAUUUCAAAUACACGUUCAGCAGAUUUUCGAAGUUCAAGCUCCACACCCUACAAACAAUAUAUAUUCAUCCACAUGUGUCUUUGCGGCAAUAAUAUUACACUAGUCUAUAUAUGAACUGGAACUCAUUACUUAAAGACUUGCCUCGAUCUUUUCUUUCUUAGCAACAGCAUCCCAAUCUUUGGUUCCAAUACCCAUCUUCCAGUCAAGACUGACGAUGGCAGUGCUAUUAUCGACUGCGUAGUGUGUCUGAUCUUUAUGCAUGGAUAAACAAGCUAAGUAUGUUCCGCUCUCGCUCGUUGUAAACGCAAACCGACCUUGCGUCACGUUUGUUCUCUUGUACACUUCUUUCCCGUAAGCUGAUGUUACCUAUAACAAACACAUGCAUGAAUUAAUAUAUAACCGAGUCUUCUUAUAUGCUACCAAUACUAAAAGUUAUAUAUAUCAUCACUAUGUAACUCCAGUGUUUUGCUAAGUUAACAUUUUAUGGAUAAUAAAAUUAAAUAAAAUACAAAGAACAAUGAAGUAUAUAUGGUUGAAUAUAUGAUUUAGGUAUAUAUAUAAUAUACAUACCCGAAUAUUAACGGUAGGACCAAGUCCCACCUCGUUAUUUUGAUCAAUGCAAAGGAAGUCGCCAACGACGACCACAUUGGCUUGAAUCACUUCGUAGACGCAUCUGUCGCCGGCCCUUGGAAUCGUUAACCAUAUAGCUUCCACCGCCGGUAAAAGAGAGCCACCGCCUGCGAGGCAAACCAAAGCAAUGACUAAUAACGGUAAUAUCGCCAUUGUUUGAGAGAAAUAGCGAGAGGGAGAGAUCAUGAGUUAAAAGGUUACUAUUUACGUUAUUCAGCAAAAAGAGUUUAAAGCUUUGUGUUCCAAGUUGUAACCACAGGUUGGUGUUUUUCUUGUAUCCAAUCAGAAGAAGCCUUUGUAGGAUGUAAUGAACAUUUUGCUAACGCGCAAGCCGUUUGUGCUGAUUUUACUUAAAUGGAAACUGCGUUUAGUUUUGACUAGACCUCAUCUCUUUAACAAAGUGAGAAUUCAACAAAAAUUACAUAUUUCAAACCCAUCGACAAAAGAAUAAGGAGGUGUUAUUGGUUUAUAUAUUUUGAUUGAUUUAGAAAUCCAUAUAAUAUUUAUAAAUCCAAGUAAAAUAUGUAAAUCCAGAGGUUUUUCCUCGGAUUUGAGUCUUUGUAUUUUUAACUAAAAAAUCCAAACAAAUCCAUUCAAAUCCAUUAUAAAAUCAAAUAUAUUAGUAAAUCCGUAUGAUUGAAUAACACUUGAUUUGAUAUAGAAUUUAUGAAUCAUUAAACCAAUAACACAUGAUUUUAAUACAGAUUUUAAAAUCAUAAAACCAAUAACACUAGAUUUAGUUCGGAUUUUCAAAUUCAUUAAAAUACAACAACCAAUCAUCCCUAAGUCCAUUAUCAAUUUUUAUAAUUUAGUUAUAAAGGUCCAAAGCUUUUUUCUUUUCUACAUUUCUCUACUAAAAGGCCCGAACUUUAUACAUUUGCCUAUGGUAUUACAUUUUUUCGAAAAUAGCUUACCUGAAGUAAUAAACAAUCACCUUGAGAAAAUUUCAUAAACUUUUUGAAAUAAUUUGACAAAUUUCUUCAUAACGAUUCACCAUGACGAAUGACAUGUCAUACCAACCCAACGUCUAGAAGAAGAUUAACUUUUAUUAGUAUACUAGAUUCUGAUCCGUACUUGGAUAUAUUUUUGUUGACAAAUUUAGUUUGAUUAUCAUCUUGUUGUGGACAUAGUUUUUGUCUGUUAUUCAAUAUUAUUUAAUUGUUGAAAAUAAAAGUCAGUUUUUUUCUAAAAGCAGAUCCGGUGGCACAAAGAAAUAAUCAAUACAAUACUAAAAGGGGAAUACCCUGAGUAGUUAGAGUGUCCACGUCGACAGUAAAAAUCAACCAAUAGGAGAAGAGCUUUCCGCCACGUCAGAUGCUCACUUCUGUCAUUUGGGCUUCGCGUUUCACCGGCCCGUUAACGUUCAGAAUUGAGAACCAAACUCUGUGUUUCCUGUUAUGUCUGAAUCGUCUUCUUCUUCAACGAUCCGCCGUCCCCUUCCUCUCAAUUUUCGACCUCCCCUAUGUCCUCAUCUAUGUCUUUUCCUUACCUUCCGUUCAACGUUUAUAUCUUAGUCUAUACAAUGAAUCUUCAGUUUACAUUUAAGGCAUUAACUCCCACAAACUCUCUGCCUCCCUCUUUUACAAUCAAAGCAUUAGCUUUGUGCGUAUCUAAUCCGAAAAAUAUCUCAAACACUAAAAAUAUGAAAGGAUUGAGAGUGGAAUCAAGUUUCACCAACACGCUCUCUCAGUUAUGUUCUCUGAAAAAACCCUAAAAUCCUUCUUCGAAUUGUCUUCGUGUGAUGAUGUUGUUCUCCAAUUAGCCAUCCACCACUCAACCUUUAAUCACUCUCUUCUCUUUAAUUAAAAAGGUAUUGUCGUCUUACACUAUCAAGCAUCAUAUUUUUCGAUCUCUAUUUUUUUUUAGAAAGACUUAUGAAUUUACUCUUCCUACAAAAAUCGUUGAUCCACAGAUCCAUUUCUGGAUCAGUGUUCAUUUUCCGGAAUCAAAACGCUUCUACAGUUUUUUUUUUAAUUUGUGAAAAUACUUCCACAUAUUAUAAUUUUUAUAUGUGUUGUUUCUUUCAAGCUGAAUAGAAGACAAAAAAAGGAGAGAGGAUUCAGUACAACAAAUUAUUGCAACUUCUGCCACAUGAUCAGGUAAACAUCAUGAUAUUUUCAUGUAUGAUAACUCAGUUCUUUAUAAUUGUGGUAGUCUCUAAAUUUGGAUUACUAUGUCUCUCGCUAUAGUGAAGCAUAACACAUAUCUGAAUUUAUUUCUACGUUUGUUUCAAAGAAAAAAAACAUUACUUGGGAGUCACUCACCAGUAGUGUAAUCAAGCAACAAAUUUUGAAACUCUGAAGCUAGGCAACCCAUAUGGCUUUGGCUUUGUUUUUGUCUUAUAAUCUGGUGUUCUCUACAGCUCUGCUCGAAUCAGCUAAAUACAGCUAUGUCACAAACUAAAGUGUUUAAUCAUGACAGGUCAGUCCCUAAUUUAAGCAUUUUCCUGAUGGUUUUUGUAUUUCUUACUUAAGAAAAAUACGUUUGAGCACUUGCCCUUCCAAAAAGGUUGGAUGACUUCUUGAUUUCAGUUGUGCCGUGAGAUUUCAGCUCUGGCGUUUCUAAACUUGGUUGGAUCUUCUUCUCCUCCUACGAAGAUCUGUUGAGAAUUGAUUACGAGAUAUAAACCCUGCAAUCAAGAAAGAGUGAAGACAGUGAUCAGAAGAAGAACAACAACGAUACGAAGAAGAGAAUCAAAGUCUAAAGUGAAAGAGAAAGAAGAAGAUAAAGUCAACUUAGAGUCAAAGAAGGAGGCAGCCUUGCAUUACAUCUCUGAAGAGUCGUUAGUCAUCUUAAGAGGUUAGUUAAUAAUUUAACUGAGUGAGUAUAACUAGGAGAUGAUCAGAGAGUCGUAUGAGAAGAGUUGUUAGAACAGUGUUUGAAUUGCUUGCAAGAUUUGUCUAAAAGCUAGAAGUAUUAUUAGGUGUAAGCAAGCAUGAUUAAAGUCAGUUAAUUAAUCUGCUAUAAAGAGCUGAGUAUUAUUUGUUGUUGUAGAAUGUGAGGAAAGCAAGGGAAAAGCAUGAUUGUUGCGGGGUUUUCUGAGUCGAAGAAGAAUCAUGGUAACGAACUGAUUGAAAAGUUGGAAGCUGGUAUGCAAGAUAUGCUACAGAUUGUCGAAGAUCGGAAUAGAGAGAUGCCGUUGCUCCUAAAAUGAAAGAGAAUCUCCAAUAUGUUGGCGGGUGAGUUUACUCAAAAGUGUAAUGCACGAGAGACAAAAAAGCCAAUAUGGUUUUGGAUUAGUAAGGAAGCUGAUAUACUUGCUCAUUUAGACCCUUCUUGAUGACUGCAGCUGAGAUCUUCCUGUCAUGUGGCGCUCUGCAGAAUAGAAGAGGACAUGGUCGAGGGCUUCCUCUAUGAAGUCCCUGAAGAGUAUAUAAACAUGCCUUUUCUCAAGAGAAGUGUACAUGAAUGCCAAGAUCAAGGACAAUCCCAACCUUGAGGAUUGUGUUUUCCACAUUGUCGUCGAUUGCUAUAACGCCCCUGUUACUGCCGGGAACUUUGUGGACUUGGCGGAGCGCAAUUUCUACAAUGGCAAGGAGAUCCAGAAAUAUAUAUAUAUAUAUUGUAUAUGGGAAAUUUUUGUUAAUCAAUGGAUGAAGAUUUUUUGUAGCUGAUGAGUUUGUGGUACAAAUAAGGGAUCCAGACAGUCAUGCGGAAGGAUUUAUAGAUCCAACCACAGAGAAAAAACGCCAUUUUACGGCUCAGCCCUAAAGUAAAAGCUUACACCCUUCUGACAAUAUAUUUAUUCAUAAUAAUAAUAAUAAAUUAUCAUUUGUUAAUUUGGUUGGAGAGGUAUUGGGUCUGUACAAUGGCAAUGGCUAGAGAAGUGAGAGUUCUUACUCUUCCUUAACAUUUGAAUAUAUAUUCUAAUUAUAUGUAAUGAAAAAAGGGGUUUGAGAAUGACUCAGAAUCGAGCCAAGUGUUUUGGCUGCUGAAAGAGCGUGAGCUGACGCCAAGCAAUUCCAACAUCUUGGACGGUCGUUACGAUGUCUUCGGCGGCUACGUUACUCAAAAUGAAGAUUUUCUGGCUGAUCUUAAAGUCGAUGAUGUCACAGAGGUCAUUCAAGUUGUCUCCGGUUGAGAAGGAAUAUGUUCUUGCACAAAAGAAAACAGAAAAGCAACAUGGUACUGCUUUAUUUGUAUUAGAUAUAUAUUUCAGACAGUGUUAAAUUACAUUCGACAUCCAGUUUCGUGUUCUUCCCAUAGACAUCAUUCUCAGAGAUCCUACUACAUUCGAAACUUUUUUUCUUAUUAUUAUGGCUAGCACAUCUACCAUUCUUGCUGCUCUCAAAUAUGGACGCUGCUCAUCCACCGUGGAGGUGGAGGUGCGGCUUCUCCGGUUUUGGGAAGCCAGAAACAUUAAACGUGGUGGCCACUUCAUGGGAGUAAAUAUGCUUCUUCUGGAUUCUAAGGUGAUUCCGUUUUUUAAAUUCAUGUUCAUCAUAGUUUUGAACAGAUCUCCAAUAUUAAGAUUCAUGUUUAACAGUAUUAUGAUUUCAAUAUUAUUUAUUUCCUCUUCGUGAUUUGGUUUUGAAUCCAGUUUUAAAUUGUGUUCUUCUGUUUAUAAACAUUUUCAGGCGAUGCUCAUACCCGCCACCAUCAACGUGAACCGUCUUCCCACCUACCGGGGAUACUUGAAGGUAGGUUCCAUGUUCUCUUUGAGUGACUUUGAUGUCACUAGGUGUAAUCAGAAUUUUAGACUUUCAGACUCUCCUCUGUUGAUACGGUUCACUUUAUGUAUAUUGCAAAUUUCUCCUUCUGAUGUUAGCAUCCAAAUGAUUGUUAAUGCAUGUAGAUACCCGCUACAAGAUCGUUUAGGGUACUGUUAUACGAGCUGCAAAUCCAGCACCAACCUCGAGUUCAGAAGAUUCCUCACAAGAGCUAUCAAGUCCAGAAGAUUCCACUGAGUCCAAGAUCUACCAAGUACGUCUUUGACAUUAGAAAAUAAUCUUGAUCGAGAAAGCAGAGUCUGCAGCAAAAGCUCUUGCAGUGGCUGAUUCCAAAGUGUUCGAAGCCAAAGAGGCGUCUCAAGUUGCAGAUACGGCCCCAAAGAAGUCUCUGACCGAUGUAAUGUCCACCUACUCGACCACAUUAAUUAUCCUAAAUUGAUCAUCACUCAGCUCUUUUUUGAUUCGUUCCUUGCAGGUGCUAAAAGAUGAAAAUGUUGAACUAUGGUAGAGCUUUAUACCUUGUGGUCCGGUUCAAUGUAGAUGUAAAGGACUGUUUUUUUAAUAGGUUUUGGCUUUGAGAACAAAAAUAAAGAGUACAUGUAUAUGAGAUUUCAUUGACUAUUGACGUUGUCACUUUUUGGUUAGUUUUUGAUGUUAAGUACGGUUCUGGAUGUUAGUAGAUGUUUUUGCAAGUCAUACUGAGAAUUGUUAAUGCAUGAUUGUGUUUAUAUUUGAUUAGAUUUGGUUCAAGUUGAAAGUUAUUAUUUGUGCAUGGUUGAUCAAUUGCAAUGAAGGAUACAAGGUACACCAAAUAUUUGAAUGGCAUAUAGAGUUUAGGUGGAUGCUCCACGUUGGAAGAGGAACCCGUUAACCAAAUUUAAUUAUAAAAUUUAUUUAAAUAAAUUUUUUUGAUAUAAACAUAUUUUUUAAAUUAUUAAAUAAAUAAGUUAAUUAUAUAUCUUUUUAAUUUUAUAUGUUAAUAUAUUUAUAUAUAUAUAUAUAUAUUAGAAAUAUAUUCAUUAAAAAUAAAUAUAUUAUAUACUAAUUUAACCUAUACUAAAAGGAAAAUAUGUUCGAUAACUAGCGUGUCCACCUAAGCAUAAAUAAUCAUCCAAUUAUAGAGUUUCAAUCUGCCACGUCAUAAAUAAUAACUACAUUCUAAAAUCCACCACUUGAAAAACUCUAAUACAGACAAAGCAGUCCAAAGCCCAAAUUACCUUAGGUCUUCCUAACCCAGUCUUCAAUGGUAUCAGGAACUUUCUACCUUCCUCUCCCCUUAAAUUCACCGUUCUGUGAAAAUCAAAACGUCACCGGUCAAAGAUCUUCAAGAAACAUUUUUCCUCAAACUUUACUAUCCUUCUCAAAUUGAUAACGAACAUCUCUCUCUCUUCAGCUUCAAAUAUCUUUAUAUAUAAGCUGAUGCGUACUUACACAACCAACUUCCAAUCCAACUACAACAGGGAUGCUCAUCCAGCUUAGGCAUCUUCUCGUCGAUGAAUAGGUGCCGUUUCAUUUUCUCCUCUAAUUUUCAUAUUCGUAAUCUCCAAUGACGAUUCUUUCAAGGACAAUGAACUUUGUUUUUGUGUUUUUUAAUCUUUGAUGUGAUUUCUUUCUAUCCAUGCUAUGCUGAUUGUUUUGGAUUGCGCAGAACAAGUUACAGAAUUUGGUUUGAUCACUAUUGAGAACUCGAGUCCGACAAUCAGUUAAUAUACGAGUCAAGCUUAUUAGAAUUUUCUGACUGUCUUUGUGCUUUGUGAUCUCCCAGGUUCACCUGGAUCAAGCUACGGAAGAGACAUGACCGAAAACAUGUGCUCUGUUAUAUAUUGUUAUUGCGCUUUUCCUUACUCUUGCUUUGAAAUCUCGGAAGCAUUUUCAUUACAACCAUAUGAUCAGAGUUAUGAUAUUUUGUUAUCUUCUUUUUGGCUUGGCUCUAUCCGGUAGACAUUUCUCCUUUUGUUGGUAUUUUUCUGCUCUACUUAUAAAUGGCUCGAAUUAAAGCUUCAAGAUACUGCUAGAGUAAUAUAUGUCUUUGUUUCACAACACUGAGUAUUGAAAGAUAUUGUAUCUGAUACGUAUUCGAGAGUCCAUUUAUUUUUGAUAUAUGUAGAGAGCGCAAAGAAAUUUUGAGGCUGGUCAAGAAAGAGGUACAGUGUCCACAAUAUCAUAUGAUCAUCUGGAUAAGUAGUUUGCUUGAUUAUCAAACUGUGUCCUUGAUUGAAAGUCAUUGUCUUUCUGUUUCUGCAGAUGGAAUUUCUAUAACACAAUGGCGGAGCGAGAAUAUGCUGAUUGUGAAAAAUAUGCGAUGAAUGCAUACAAAGUAGCUACAGAAAAUAGUGACACAUGUGAUGAAAUUUCUCAAGGCAGCCACCUCGCACCAAAUCAUCCUGAACCAAAACCAGUUUCUGGUUUGGCCCAGAUGAUGAUGUUGUCCGAUGCAAGACUACAGAUUAAAGACAAGGAGUGAUGCAAGCCGUGAAGACUAUGGAUUCCUGUCCCGGCUGCGUUUUCUCGAUGCCAAGGCCUCAAUGAAGUUAAAUAAACUGUUAAAAGAGUCACCAGUUCUUUUAACGCCAUUGUGGAAGAAACAUAAAAUAUUAGAACAUAUCGAAUGAUUACCCGGUAAGCUACGAGCAUAUGUAUAUUUUUCAAGUUUUUGUUUGUUUGGUAUGGUUGGAAGUUCUAUUGGUUCAAAUACUCGGAUCGUUAUGGUUAAUAACAUUGAAGAAUAAGUCUAUGUUACAUCCAUAUAGAGAUAUAUAUACUUAUAUACGUUGCGCACAUAUAUACUGAGAUAUAUAACAUUUAUGAAUAGCAAAUGUGUAUGCGUAGGAAGAAGGAUGGAAACGUAGCAAAUCGUGUUAGUAGCGGCGGCGAUAUAUUCAUUAAAAUUUUAGUAUGUUCUUCUGAUGGUCACCAGUUAGAUCCUGAGAGUACGGCCACAAGUAAAUACCUCAUUCUAGAUUUCCAAGGUUUUUUAUUCGUUGACUAAAAAAACAAUACAUUGUUUACGAUAUAGUACAUUUGUUUAUUUGAUCUUUUAGAACUAAUUUUGUUAGUAGAAUCUUAAUUUUAUCUAUGUAUAGCCAUGUGUAUGUGGAGGAAGAAGUAUGGAGAUGUAAUAAAUCCAUCCAUAUUUCUAAAUAAUGCAUUUGAAAUAUGAAAGUAUUUAAGUAAAUAUUUUUUCAUAUUCCAUUAGCUAAUUUGAUAGUCAUGUUCAUGUUGUAAUUUCGCCAUUUCAUUUGUUUUAUUUAGUCAAAAUUAUUAUAAUACAAAAGUAAUCCUAUUUUAUUAUUUGCAUCUGAACAUAAAAAUAUCCACUGUUUCCAAACCAUAAAUACAUAAGAUCACAUCUUAUUAUAUAAAGCUUGGUUUUUCAAAGUUGCUAAUAAACAUAAUUGUGAUACAUAUCAAUUAUAUAUUUAAGAUUAUGACAUGUGUUAAUAUAUCUCAUAAUUAAAGAUAAAUUACAUUUACGUAUUACAUGUUUUUUACAUAUUAUAAAAUAAUAAGUAUAUAUUUUAUAAUUAAAAAAUUCAGUAACUAUUACAUUUACGUAUUAUAUGUUUUUUUUUGUGGAAUAUUUAAUAGUUAUAAUAAUUUAUGAUUUUGAAUAAAAUUCAAAGCAAAUUUGAUUGCGUUUCGACCAUUCUCUUCUACGAACUUGAGAUGCUUCAAAGCAUGAGUUAGUUCUUUAUGUAUGCCUAAUGAGAGGCUUAACGACGCGAUUAACAUGCUGAGGAUUAGUUCAGAAUAGCGGCGGUACCACGAGCUUCACGUCAUGGAUCAGUUAUGGUGUUCUCUUUGUGGAGUAGAUCUACUAAGCUCUUUGUGUAGUUUGAUAUUCUUUUGUACGUAAUUAAAUGUCAGCUUCAAGAUUUAUCUCUUCUCAACAUGUUCUCUUUUUUUCUACAUAAUUCUAAUACUCAUUCGAAUGCCAAAGAUAAAUAGGUCAACAAAAUUAAAAUGGAUCUCUCUCACCAUUUUUCCUCUUUCUCUUUGUUUCCGUUAACAAACAUGAGUCACUUGAACGUUGAUUUUGAGAACAAUAUUGUAGAUUUUAUACAAGAAUUGAAUCUAAAAAGGCUUUAAGAUGGUUAAAUUUAUGUGGAUUUUAUUUAUAAUCAGAUAGCUCAUGCUGAUUUGUUUCGGCUAUACAAAGCGGCUGAGCAUUUGUGUUGCCUACACGAGGAAAUAACACAAACACAAGUUCAUAUUCUGAUUAAUGAUUGUGCUGCUUUCAAAUAAGCUAUAUCUAUUAAUCUAUUUAAUUACUAAUAAUGAAGUUCUUAUGUACGGUGUUACAGAAUCUAAAUGUAUUCUUAGAAUCUAUAUGGAUCAUAAUUAAAGCUUAGACAACACAAAUGCUCUCCGCCUCUUUGUAUAUAGCCGAAGCAAAUCAACAUACGAGAGUUAUGUGAUAAUAAAUAAAAUACACCAAAUUUUAACCAUUUCUAGGCUAACACAAAUGCUCUCUAUUCAUUUCACAUGUUUGCUCAGCAUCCCAAAUACAUUUUUUGAUAGUAAUAAUAAGCAAAUUUUGAGUUUAAAUCAUUGCAAAUUUGAUGUACAAUUUAUAUUUUAUAUAUAUCAUAGCUAUGAUAUAUGUGGAUUAUAUAUUUAAAAAAUAUAACUGUCAAAAACCCGGGCGUAGCUCGGGAAAAUUCCUAGUUUUUAUAAUAAUUUAAAAUAGAAUACUCAAACUGCUCUACUAAUCAUCCUAUUAAACAGUUUAGCCAAAACAUAUCGUUCCUGCAACAUACUGCUUCUAUAGUAUACUGCUAUUGCUUUAUCAUUUGCUCUGCCAAUCAAAGCUUAACUUAAUUACUGAUAUAAAUUUCAAUACGCAUAAAUAAUCACCUCAUAAUGAAUAUUUACAUUACAUAUUAAUUUUAACGUAUACGUUAAUUGAUUGGUUCAUUCAAGACCCAAAACUGGCGAAAAUAUAAUUAAAUAAAUAUAAACAUUAUUUAGAAAUUUUUGCCUUUGUUAUUGACAUAUAAUUAGACUAAUGGUGUAGUUAAUAGCGUGUCUAUAUAUUUACCAGUUUAACCGUACAUUUUAAUUGGAGAAAGAAAACAAACAAAAAUCAAGUGAAGACUUUUAAGGUAUAUGAAACAAAAAUUGAAAAUAGCAAUUUUCUGCAAUUAAAGAAUAAGGCAAUAAAAUUGCAAAAAUACAAGAUAAAACAAAAAUAUACACAAAAAGAAAAAUUUAGUAAAAUAAAAUCAUAAUACAAUUGUGAUAACCCGUCCCGUGGGAACUAUCCACCCAGUAGGCCCUAGGUUCACAGCCCUGCAGGGCACCGACCCUAACCCCUCGAUUAUGAGUUUUCUCUCACUCCGUAAUUAGUUUGUUGGGAGAGUUGUUAAAAGGUGAGGUCCUGGGUUCAAGGUCCAUCAACAACCUAAUUAUGGAGUUAGUGAGAACUCAUAAGAGAGGGGGUGUGGUCGAUUCGCUGCAGUGCUGUGAGACUGAGGUUUACGGGACGGGUGGUCCACAGGACGGGUUGUCACAAUAAUUUCCAUAAUUGAUAGUGAUCAAUUACACUAAAAAGUCUAAAUUUACAACAUACACAGUUUUAUUUACAUCUUUAAACCUAUUAUCUAAUUAAAAUGAUUCUAAAAAAAAUACAAGCAUGAAGAGUUAGAAAAUAUACGAUAAUAUAUAAUACAUAACGUUAAAAAUACGUAAUCAUUGAUCACUAAAAAUAAUGUUAGUAGUAAUAAAAAUGACAUGACAACACAUUUAUUAAAACUAUAGAACGGCACGCAACAAGGUGUUAUUAAAUAUACAAACUACAAUUAAAUAUGCUCAACGCAAACACACAUAAAAAUGAGACAUCAUAUUUGGAUAUAUUGAAAUAAAUAAUUUUAAUUAUAUUAUAUUCUUGAUAAUUUUAAAAUUACUAAACUAAAUUAUUAAAAAAAUAAUAUCCAAAUAAAACUAAAGUAAUAUUUUGUAACAUCAAAAUAAUAAAUGAAUAAAAAUAUAUUAUGUUAAUAAAAUAGAUUUUAGAUUUUAAAGACUUCUAAUUCAUGUAAUAUUACAAAAUUCAAAAUUUGUUUAUUACAAUUAAUAUUUUACCAUUAGAUAUAUUAAAAUAAUAUUCUAGAUCGAUAUUCAAUUGUCAGUUUUCAACUAUUACACGUAAAAAAAUAUUAUUUAGUACACUUUUUUUUAAAGGAGGUUUUAUAUUCUAAGUAGGUUAUUGGAGUAAUUUUCUUUUCCAUGAAUUUAUUCAAGAUGAGAUUUCAAUCUUUUAAACUAAGAUAAUUUAUGUUCUAUACAUAAUUAUAUUUUUUUACAUAACUUUAAAAUCUCGGACUUGAUUCUUUAUAUUUUAUUAGCUAAUUCUGUUACAUAUAAUAGAAAUACUUACUUCAAACUAAAAAUAUAAAAAAAAAAUUAAAUUUAAAAAUUAGUUAUAUAUAAUUUAAUAUACAAAAAUUCACAUAUAAAUAAAAAUGAUAAAUGUAAUAAAUUUAAAUAUAUUAUCCGCGCUACGCGCGGAGAAAUGAUCUAGUAUGCCGUAAUAAUAGGAAGUCAAAAGAUAACAAUGAUUCUAAAUUAAUAAUAUUGAUUAUAUAUUAUAUGAUUCCACCAAAUUAAACUUUACAAAACCCACUUCUCAAGAAUGACAAUAGUGUUGUUCGUUUGACAGCCGCGGAAAGCUGCUUCUGCCUCUGAGUCAACCGCAGCGUCUGUUCAUUAUUUGAAAAAAAAAACAAAACUAUCAAUAAUCCGCAUGAAAAACCAAAAAUAUAAAUGAAUAAAAAAACUCAAAGGCAGCAAUUUUUUUUUAAAAUCAUUAUUCCCACUUGAUUGCGAGAGAGGGAUAAAGGAAAACUUUUCAUCUUCUUCACCUUCACCCUCAUCGUUUCCCCCUCUCUCUCAGCAUGCUCAUCAUCAGAAACAAUCUCCUUUUCUAUCCUUGAUGCGUCUUCUCUUCUAAUCUCCGGCGAGAGAGAGAGAGGCCAAAAACAAAGAUCCAGAAGAAGGAUAGAGAGAGAAGCUAUCUAUGGCCGCCGCCGCCGCUACGGCAGACAAGGAAGCUAUGGUGGAUCCUUUUCUAGUCGAGGCUCUCCAGAAUCCUCGUCACCGUCUCACCAGUUAGUCGAUUCUCUCCCAAACCCACGAUUCAGUUUCACUUUCUCUGCUCUUGUAUCGAUCUGAUUUUGCUCAAUCGUUAGUUUUCUAGGGUUUGAUUGAAUUAGGGGAAUUGGGGAUUAGGGUUUAGCUUUCGCGCUUCAGGAUCAGAUCAUCCACUUGUUAGCUACACAAUCAUAAUCAUCAUGAACAUAUUGAAAGCUUGAAUCAUCAAAUGUCAACACUUUUUUUUUAAUUUCCACAAAUGUUUUUACUUUCUAUAUAUGGAAAGAUUCUGUUUAAAGUUUGCUUCUUUUGCUUAUGUGUGUUUUAUAGUAUUGAGGAUGGAGCUCGAUAUUCAAAAGUUCUUUCAAAGCCCUGACCAGCUUCAGUUCGAGUUCCCGCCUUUUCCAACGUCAUACCUUCGUCUCGCUGCGCAUCGAGUCGCUCAGCACUACGGACUAGUCACCACGGCUCUGGACAACGGUGCCGGCGCCUUAGAUGGAUCCGACAACAGAAUCUUGGCGACGAGAACAGCCGAGAGCAGGUUUCCUCACGUCUGCUUAUCCGAAAUUCCGGUUAAGCAGCCGGAGGACGGUAGACCGGAGGGGUUCAAGAUCGCGAUCAAGGCUAGACCCACCAAGAGAGGAUCUGGCUGCGGAGGUGGCGUGUCAGGUGUGCAGCAGAGUCUUCAGAGAAGCGUUGAGGAGAGGAAAGAGGAGUAUGAUAAAGCUAGGGCGAGGAUCUUUAAUAGUCCUAGCAGUUCUGACUCUGAAGACUCUUCGUCUCUACAAGCUCCUCCUCUUGAAGGGAGUAACACUUGUGUAAACCGGAAUGAACCUGAGGUUACGGCGGUUAACAAUAAUACUUCCCGAGUUGCUAUUAUUAGAGAUAGAGAGAAAGAUCGGUAUGAUCCGGAUUAUGACAGGAGCUAUGAGAGAUAUGUCGUGGAUCCUGCAUACAGGUUAAAACACCUUUACAUCUCUUAAACGUCCACACUCAAGAGGUGUUCGCUUUUGCAGAGUGUAAGGUCUUUGUUCUUGUAGGUACGUUAGAUUUAUGCCGAAUCCGAUGCCAAUGCACAUGCCGUUUCACGAUGGGGGUUUCUUGCAGAUGCCAAGAGGUCAUCAAGCUAAUCUACACUACGGGCAUCCUCCGGCUAUGAGUCCCUUUAUUAAUAGCCCGGUUGGUUAUACACCGUGGCCGAACUCACCAGCUAUGAACUAUGCGCAGUCAUUGCACGGUCCAGACACACAUCUUUUCAGGUUACUAAUACUAGGCUUUAGUUGUUGUUGUUUUGGCCAUUUUGAUUAUUACUCGUUUCUGUGGCUUACGCUUCUUUUAACCUGCAGGCAUCCUUCUGCAAGCAAUCCCUGACGACAGGUAGUGUUCUGAGUACAAUGUCUGUAUGAAAAGAAAAAAGAAACAGAUUCUAUAGAUGUUAGCCUUUAGGAGCUCUCUGUUGUGUUGUUCCAAACAAUUGGCUGCUUCUUUCUUAUAUAACAAGACAUCUACUCUCUCUCUUUUUGUAUUUCUUUCUUAAUUAUAUCAAUAUCGAACUUUAAAUGACCUUCGAUCAUACUUGAACCAAUCUAUGAUCAUUGGAAUUUGGUUCUUAAAUGGUGUUUUUAUAUAAAAUGAAUUCUCAUGUGUUAAUUCUCACAUCUAGUUAUUUUUUUGUGACACAUAAAUAUGAGGUGGUGAAGACUUGGAGGGUCAUUUUCAAACAUUGGGCGAAGACAAACUAGUUUCGCAAAGUUGCCAAACGAAUAAUCAAUCACUCGUACUCUUUUGACCUAUGGUCUCAUAUCACACGAUCCGGUUUUAGAUCAUCAGUGAUAGUAUAUUUUAGUUUUAGGCUUGGAUUAGACCUGGAUUUCAAGUCAACAAUUAUUCUGGAUUAAUGAUUUAAUUAAUAUUGAAUUUAAGACUUAUGGAAGAAGAAAAAACAAUCAAGAAAUAUAAAACUAAUUUCUAGUCAGAAAAAUUGGGAAAGAACGAAACAUAAAUACACACUCUUUUAUGUGAAUAAAUUUGAUAUCAACGGUAAACAAUACUACUAAUUAUAACUGUAUAAUCUUUAUUUAGUAGUUUAAGAGCAAAAAUGCAAAGGUUGGGGCCUGACUUGGUGAGACAAGAUCAGAACACGCCAGCUAUGAUCCCACCACCAUUGCUUUAAAAUCAUUCCCCUCCUAAAUUAUUGAACCUUCAUUAUAGAAGCAACAAAAAUAUAAAACUAUAGAAAUAUUUCUAUUGGUUUUGGUCCCUUCAAUGAUUCCAUGGACAUAUAUAUGCAUAUAUGAAACUUUUAUAAUUGGUAGUGUAGUAAAUAAGUUUGGGGUAUGAUUGAGGAAGUGAGAGCAUCAGAUCCUGGAUUCUGAUUCUUCCUCCCAUUGUCUCUUUUUGCUGAUCGGUUGCUUCAUGCCAUUUGUACAUUGUACUAUUGCAUCCAUAACUCAUUAUUAUUACCUUAUUGGUUAAUCACACAAAUAGAAUUGUCUUCUCCGAUUAACACUAUCAGUAACUAACUUACCAUAUUUAGAUUACAUCACAGGAUUCUUGAUUCUUGUAAUAUAAAACUUAUAGAUGAGGCAAAGGGUAUGUAUAGUUUUUAGUAGCUGCAAUAUAUAGAAACAAAGAACAUUGUGAUGUACAUUUUCUAAACAAAGAUAGAUCCUUUUCCCAACCUUGAAUGUAUCCAUAAAAAAUGUACAAGAACUCAUCUUUACAAGAAUCAUAAAGUAGAAGCUACAAGAGAUUCAGACACAUAACUGGAUCACACUGCAUCAAUGUUAAACUGAUAAAGACUGCAUAAAACUUGUAUCAAUGUUCUUGAAAGACUACACUUUGAACAUACAAAGGAUUCAAAUGAAAAUGGUCAAGUCACAAAGUGUGUGAUCAACAGCUAGUGCUUGGCUUACAUUGAUCAAGUGUUUUCAAGCAAAGCUUAUUACCGGAAGAUUAGAUUUUUAUUCUAAUCAUCUCGAGUUGGGAACAAAGUCAAGACUGUUCUUCCUCCAAUAGCGUUUGCAGAUUCCAAAUCCUCAACGUAGUUACCAACCGGACUGUGCAACGACGGUGUAGACAUUCUCUGAAGCGUCUGCUGCUGCUGCGUUUGCCUCGCCAAGAACGACUGAUCAAACUUCCCAUUCGCCGGCGGCGAACCGAACUGCCCGUUCGCUGUCGGAGAGCCAUAAUGAGCGGCUGAGAUUUGACAGUGGUGAAACUGAGGCGGUUGCAGAUGAGCAUUAGCCGCUGCUGCCGCGGCGACCGCAGCCAUCUGCUGCUGCUGUUGAAGUGUAGCGAUCGGGACAAAAGACGGCAUGAAAUGGUCCGAACUCGGAACGCGGUUGGGGUGAAGAAAGUGAGCCGGCACGGGAGAGCUAGCGAAGAGCCGAUCCGUCGCCGGAUCCGACCCGCCUCCGCCGCCGGAAGAUAGCCCCUGCAUCCUCUUGAGGUAAAGCCUAUACUUCUGCAAGUGGCUCCCCCNNNNNNNNNNNNNNNNNNNNNNNNNNNNNNNNNNNNNNNNNNNNNNNNNNNNNNNNNNNNNNNNNNNNNNNNNNNNNNNNNNNNNNNNNNNNNNNNNNNNNNNNNNNNNNNNNNNNNNNNNNNNNNNNNNNNNNNNNNNNNNNNNNNNNNNNNNNNNNNNNNNNNNNNNNNNNNNNNNNNNNNNNNNNNNNNNNNNNNNNNNNNNNNNNNNNNNNNNNNNNNNNNNNNNNNNNNNNNNNNNNNNNNNNNNNNNNNNNNNNNNNNNNNNNNNNNNNNNNNNNNNNNNNNNNNNNNNNNNNNNNNNNNNNNNNNNNNNNNNNNNNNNNNNNNNNNNNNNNNNNNNNNNNNNNNNNNNNNNNNNNNNNNNNNNNNNNNNNNNNNNNNNNNNNNNNNNNNNNNNNNNNNNNNNNNNNNNNNNNNNNNNNNNNNNNNNNNNNNNNNNNNNNNNNNNNNNNNNNNNNNNNNNNNNNNNNNNNNNNNNNNNNNNNNNNNNNNNNNNNNNNNNNNNNNNNNNNNNNNNNNNNNNNNNNNNNNNNNNNNNNNNNNNNNNNNNNNNNNNNNNNNNNNNNNNNNNNNNNNNNNNNNNNNNNNNNNNNNNNNNNNNNNNNNNNNNNNNNNNNNNNNNNNNNNNNNNNNNNNNNNNNNNNNNNNNNNNNNNNNNNNNNNNNNNNNNNNNNNNNNNNNNNNNNNNNNNNNNNNNNNNNNNNNNNNNNNNNNNNNNNNNNNNNNNNNNNNNNNNNNNNNNNNNNNNNNNNNNNNNNNNNNNNNNNNNNNNNNNNNNNNNNNNNNNNNNNNNNNNNNNNNNNNNNNNNNNNNNNNNNNNNNNNNNNNNNNNNNNNNNNNNNNNNNNNNNNNNNNNNNNNNNNNNNNNNNNNNNNNNNNNNNNNNNNNNNNNNNNNNNNNNNNNNNNNNNNNNNNNNNNNNNNNNNNNNNNNNNNNNNNNNNNNNNNNNNNNNNNNNNNNNNNNNNNNNNNNNNNNNNNNNNNNNNNNNNNNNNNNNNNNNNNNNNNNNNNNNNNNNNNNNNNNNNNNNNNNNNNNNNNNNNNNNNNNNNNNNNNNNNNNNNNNNNNNNNNNNNNNNNNNNNNNNNNNNNNNNNNNNNNNNNNNNNNNNNNNNNNNNNNNNNNNNNNNNNNNNNNNNNNNNNNNNNNNNNNNNNNNNNNNNNNNNNNNNNNNNNNNNNNNNNNNNNNNNNNNNNNNNNNNNNNGAGUUAGGAAAUAUACGAUAAAAUAUAAUACAUAACGUUAAAAAUACAUUAUCACUGAUCACUAAAAAAUCAUGUUAGUAGUAAUAAAAAUGAAAUGACAACAUAUUUAUUAAAACCAUAGAACGGCACACAACAAGGUGUUAUUAAAUAUACAAACUACAAAUUAAACAUGCUCAACGCAAGCACACAUAAAAAUGAGACAUCAUAUUUGGAUAUAUUUAAAUAAAUAAUUUUAAAUAUAUUAUAUUCUUGAUAAUUUUAAAAUUACUUAAAAAGAAACUAAAUUAUUAAAAAAUUAAUAUACAAAUAAAACUAAAGCAAUAUUUUGUAAUGUCAAAAUAAUAAAAGAAUAGAAAAUAUAUUAUGUUAAUAAAAUAGAUUUUAGAUUUUAAAGACUUCUAAUUCAUGUAAUAUUACAAAAUUCAAAAUUUGUUUAUUACAAUUAAUAUUUUACCAUUAGAUAUAUUAAAAUAAUAUUCUAGAUCGAUAUUCAAUUGUCAGUUUUCAACUAUUACACGUAAAAAAAUAUUAUUUAGUACACUUUUUUUUAAAGGAGGUUUUAUAUUCUAAGUAGGUUAUUGGAGUAAUUUUCUUUUCCAUGAAUUUAUUCAAGAUGAGAUUUCAAUCUUUUAAACUAAGAUAAUUUAUGUUCUAUACAUAAUUAUAUUUUUUUACAUAACUUUAAAAUCUCGGACUUGAUUCUUUAUAUUUUAUUAGCUAAUUCUGUUACAUAUAAUAGAAAUACUUACUUCAAACUAAAAAUAUAAAAAAAAAAUUAAAUUUAAAAAUUAGUUAUAUAUAAUUUAAUAUACAAAAAUUCACAUAUAAAUAAAAAUGAUAAAUGUAAUAAAUUUAAAUAUAUUAUCCGCGCUACGCGCGGAGAAAUGAUCUAGUAUGCCGUAAUAAUAGGAAGUCAAAAGAUAACAAUGAUUCUAAAUUAAUAAUAUUGAUUAUAUAUUAUAUGAUUCCACCAAAUUAAACUUUACAAAACCCACUUCUCAAGAAUGACAAUAGUGUUGUUCGUUUGACAGCCGCGGAAAGCUGCUUCUGCCUCUGAGUCAACCGCAGCGUCUGUUCAUUAUUUGAAAAAAAAAACAAAACUAUCAAUAAUCCGCAUGAAAAACCAAAAAUAUAAAUGAAUAAAAAAACUCAAAGGCAGCAAUUUUUUUUUAAAAUCAUUAUUCCCACUUGAUUGCGAGAGAGGGAUAAAGGAAAACUUUUCAUCUUCUUCACCUUCACCCUCAUCGUUUCCCCCUCUCUCUCAGCAUGCUCAUCAUCAGAAACAAUCUCCUUUUCUAUCCUUGAUGCGUCUUCUCUUCUAAUCUCCGGCGAGAGAGAGAGAGGCCAAAAACAAAGAUCCAGAAGAAGGAUAGAGAGAGAAGCUAUCUAUGGCCGCCGCCGCCGCUACGGCAGACAAGGAAGCUAUGGUGGAUCCUUUUCUAGUCGAGGCUCUCCAGAAUCCUCGUCACCGUCUCACCAGUUAGUCGAUUCUCUCCCAAACCCACGAUUCAGUUUCACUUUCUCUGCUCUUGUAUCGAUCUGAUUUUGCUCAAUCGUUAGUUUUCUAGGGUUUGAUUGAAUUAGGGGAAUUGGGGAUUAGGGUUUAGCUUUCGCGCUUCAGGAUCAGAUCAUCCACUUGUUAGCUACACAAUCAUAAUCAUCAUGAACAUAUUGAAAGCUUGAAUCAUCAAAUGUCAACACUUUUUUUUUAAUUUCCACAAAUGUUUUUACUUUCUAUAUAUGGAAAGAUUCUGUUUAAAGUUUGCUUCUUUUGCUUAUGUGUGUUUUAUAGUAUUGAGGAUGGAGCUCGAUAUUCAAAAGUUCUUUCAAAGCCCUGACCAGCUUCAGUUCGAGUUCCCGCCUUUUCCAACGUCAUACCUUCGUCUCGCUGCGCAUCGAGUCGCUCAGCACUACGGACUAGUCACCACGGCUCUGGACAACGGUGCCGGCGCCUUAGAUGGAUCCGACAACAGAAUCUUGGCGACGAGAACAGCCGAGAGCAGGUUUCCUCACGUCUGCUUAUCCGAAAUUCCGGUUAAGCAGCCGGAGGACGGUAGACCGGAGGGGUUCAAGAUCGCGAUCAAGGCUAGACCCACCAAGAGAGGAUCUGGCUGCGGAGGUGGCGUGUCAGGUGUGCAGCAGAGUCUUCAGAGAAGCGUUGAGGAGAGGAAAGAGGAGUAUGAUAAAGCUAGGGCGAGGAUCUUUAAUAGUCCUAGCAGUUCUGACUCUGAAGACUCUUCGUCUCUACAAGCUCCUCCUCUUGAAGGGAGUAACACUUGUGUAAACCGGAAUGAACCUGAGGUUACGGCGGUUAACAAUAAUACUUCCCGAGUUGCUAUUAUUAGAGAUAGAGAGAAAGAUCGGUAUGAUCCGGAUUAUGACAGGAGCUAUGAGAGAUAUGUCGUGGAUCCUGCAUACAGGUUAAAACACCUUUACAUCUCUUAAACGUCCACACUCAAGAGGUGUUCGCUUUUGCAGAGUGUAAGGUCUUUGUUCUUGUAGGUACGUUAGAUUUAUGCCGAAUCCGAUGCCAAUGCACAUGCCGUUUCACGAUGGGGGUUUCUUGCAGAUGCCAAGAGGUCAUCAAGCUAAUCUACACUACGGGCAUCCUCCGGCUAUGAGUCCCUUUAUUAAUAGCCCGGUUGGUUAUACACCGUGGCCGAACUCACCAGCUAUGAACUAUGCGCAGUCAUUGCACGGUCCAGACACACAUCUUUUCAGGUUACUAAUACUAGGCUUUAGUUGUUGUUGUUUUGGCCAUUUUGAUUAUUACUCGUUUCUGUGGCUUACGCUUCUUUUAACCUGCAGGCAUCCUUCUGCAAGCAAUCCCUGACGACAGGUAGUGUUCUGAGUACAAUGUCUGUAUGAAAAGAAAAAAGAAACAGAUUCUAUAGAUGUUAGCCUUUAGGAGCUCUCUGUUGUGUUGUUCCAAACAAUUGGCUGCUUCUUUCUUAUAUAACAAGACAUCUACUCUCUCUCUUUUUGUAUUUCUUUCUUAAUUAUAUCAAUAUCGAACUUUAAAUGACCUUCGAUCAUACUUGAACCAAUCUAUGAUCAUUGGAAUUUGGUUCUUAAAUGGUGUUUUUAUAUAAAAUGAAUUCUCAUGUGUUAAUUCUCACAUCUAGUUAUUUUUUUGUGACACAUAAAUAUGAGGUGGUGAAGACUUGGAGGGUCAUUUUCAAACAUUGGGCGAAGACAAACUAGUUUCGCAAAGUUGCCAAACGAAUAAUCAAUCACUCGUACUCUUUUGACCUAUGGUCUCAUAUCACACGAUCCGGUUUUAGAUCAUCAGUGAUAGUAUAUUUUAGUUUUAGGCUUGGAUUAGACCUGGAUUUCAAGUCAACAAUUAUUCUGGAUUAAUGAUUUAAUUAAUAUUGAAUUUAAGACUUAUGGAAGAAGAAAAAACAAUCAAGAAAUAUAAAACUAAUUUCUAGUCAGAAAAAUUGGGAAAGAACGAAACAUAAAUACACACUCUUUUAUGUGAAUAAAUUUGAUAUCAACGGUAAACAAUACUACUAAUUAUAACUGUAUAAUCUUUAUUUAGUAGUUUAAGAGCAAAAAUGCAAAGGUUGGGGCCUGACUUGGUGAGACAAGAUCAGAACACGCCAGCUAUGAUCCCACCACCAUUGCUUUAAAAUCAUUCCCCUCCUAAAUUAUUGAACCUUCAUUAUAGAAGCAACAAAAAUAUAAAACUAUAGAAAUAUUUCUAUUGGUUUUGGUCCCUUCAAUGAUUCCAUGGACAUAUAUAUGCAUAUAUGAAACUUUUAUAAUUGGUAGUGUAGUAAAUAAGUUUGGGGUAUGAUUGAGGAAGUGAGAGCAUCAGAUCCUGGAUUCUGAUUCUUCCUCCCAUUGUCUCUUUUUGCUGAUCGGUUGCUUCAUGCCAUUUGUACAUUGUACUAUUGCAUCCAUAACUCAUUAUUAUUACCUUAUUGGUUAAUCACACAAAUAGAAUUGUCUUCUCCGAUUAACACUAUCAGUAACUAACUUACCAUAUUUAGAUUACAUCACAGGAUUCUUGAUUCUUGUAAUAUAAAACUUAUAGAUGAGGCAAAGGGUAUGUAUAGUUUUUAGUAGCUGCAAUAUAUAGAAACAAAGAACAUUGUGAUGUACAUUUUCUAAACAAAGAUAGAUCCUUUUCCCAACCUUGAAUGUAUCCAUAAAAAAUGUACAAGAACUCAUCUUUACAAGAAUCAUAAAGUAGAAGCUACAAGAGAUUCAGACACAUAACUGGAUCACACUGCAUCAAUGUUAAACUGAUAAAGACUGCAUAAAACUUGUAUCAAUGUUCUUGAAAGACUACACUUUGAACAUACAAAGGAUUCAAAUGAAAAUGGUCAAGUCACAAAGUGUGUGAUCAACAGCUAGUGCUUGGCUUACAUUGAUCAAGUGUUUUCAAGCAAAGCUUAUUACCGGAAGAUUAGAUUUUUAUUCUAAUCAUCUCGAGUUGGGAACAAAGUCAAGACUGUUCUUCCUCCAAUAGCGUUUGCAGAUUCCAAAUCCUCAACGUAGUUACCAACCGGACUGUGCAACGACGGUGUAGACAUUCUCUGAAGCGUCUGCUGCUGCUGCGUUUGCCUCGCCAAGAACGACUGAUCAAACUUCCCAUUCGCCGGCGGCGAACCGAACUGCCCGUUCGCUGUCGGAGAGCCAUAAUGAGCGGCUGAGAUUUGACAGUGGUGAAACUGAGGCGGUUGCAGAUGAGCAUUAGCCGCUGCUGCCGCGGCGACCGCAGCCAUCUGCUGCUGCUGUUGAAGUGUAGCGAUCGGGACAAAAGACGGCAUGAAAUGGUCCGAACUCGGAACGCGGUUGGGGUGAAGAAAGUGAGCCGGCACGGGAGAGCUAGCGAAGAGCCGAUCCGUCGCCGGAUCCGACCCGCCUCCGCCGCCGGAAGAUAGCCCCUGCAUCCUCUUGAGGUAAAGCCUAUACUUCUGCAAGUGGCUCGCGACGUUCUCUCUGGUCAACCCGUCGACGCUCAUGAGCUGCAUAAUCGUCUUGGGAACGGCGUUCUUGAUCCCGAGGUGCGCCACCGCGUCGACGAAGCGUUUGUGCAGCUGCGGGGUCCACACGAGGCGAGGCCGUUUCAGGGUCCGCGCCGGCUCGUCUCCGGCGCCGGCGGUGGCUCCGGAGCCUAGAUCUGCUGAAUCCGCCGCGAAUUCGGCGGAGGAGUUGGCUUGUGAGGACGGAAGCUGCGGCGGCGGGGUGGAGUGGUGGUGGUGGUGGUGGUGGUGAGGUUGGCCGGAGUUGUUGGGGAGUCUGAUGUCGAAGGCGAGAGCGAGAUCGGGAGAGAUGAGGGAUUGGGAUAAGGGGAUGAGCUCCUCUGGUGAGGGAAGCUCUUGUUCCCAUCUUGUGAACCAGUCUGUAUCGUCUUCUCUCAUUAUCUCCGACAAGAAAGGACCAAACUUUUCCCGGAAAAUUUACAGACUUUUCCCGGGAAAUUACAAAUUGGAAAAAAAUCAGACUUUUUCACCGUCCAGCUUGAAGAAAGUGAUUUCAACGAAGAUGAGAUAAUCAAAAUCGGAUCUUGAGAGAAAAGAAAGGAGGAAACUUUUCUUCCCGGAAAAUUACAAACCGAGAAAAUGAGUAAAGGUUCUAGACUUUCUCUCACAGAAGAAGAGAGAGUGGGAAUCUGAGAAUGAGAUGAUGAUUGAGAGAGAUGGAGAGAAGUUCGAGGUGGAUCUUCUUUUUCUUUCUCAGCUUUUCAUCUUGAAGUUUUUUAUUUUUAUUUUUAUUUUUUAUGAUGAGUACUUACCAAAUCUACAUGUCUUUUUUAUUACAUAGUUUUCUGGAGAUUCUCAAUCAUGUUACAAAACUCGACCCAACGCUGACCUCGGCGCGUGGUGUCCAAUAGCUUGUUGAUUCCUGCUUUAAAUAGCUUUCUACAAGUUAAUUUCUUUUGAAUUAUCCAUUUAUAUAGUUUAGAUAUUUGAACUAUAAAUCUCAAACAUGGAAAGUUUAUGAAUAAACUACAAAACAUUUACUAAUCCCGUCAAUGAGAUGAUGAAGAAAUAAUUAUGUUUGUAAGAAUGAAAUAUAGACUUAGCAAAUAGAAAACGUGCUAAUUUGUUUGCAUGUAAAUUAAUGUUUAACUAAAGUAAUACAGUUAGCAUGUCACUUAUCAAAAA
rnacentral:lncRNA from 1 species